rnacentral:lncRNA from 1 species
AGAGGGAAUAUAGGAUUGCAUGGAUUGUGCCAGUAAAGGAUAAGUGCCAGUUGCUGUAAAAAUUCGUCAUGUCAUCGUACUAUUUGGAACUAUCUAAGCUGGCGAGGCUGAGGAAACGCCUUCAUCAAGCUUUUUUGUGCUACCCUGAUGCUCUGUUGUGGUUAAUGAGGGAAUGUCAUGUUCAUUUUCUCACAGAUUAAGCAGUGGAAAUUAUAUCAUCUUUGUGCUUCUUGAUGCUAUCGUACAUAAAAUGCUUGAAGAAAUCCCAUGGUUUGCUUGCAUUUGCAGUACUCUGCUUGAAGUUAGCAUAUGAAAAAUUAGUGUUGAGACAGUCGAGCAGCUUCUUUGCUGUGCAAUCCGUUCAUUUCAUUCAUGAAUCAAUAUGUGACAAAAAAUAUAAGUCAACUGAACGAACAUAAUAUCAUACUAUUAAUCUGAGUUUCUGUAAUGACCAAAAUAGCAUACACAUAUAUUUGUCGGCAACGUAGAAAGUGAUUUGUUUUCCCCUGUUGCUGCUUUUCUUUCAUCAACGCGCAUGCACGCGCGCACACGCAUGCCUCAUCUGCUGCCGUGAGCUUUCUUUUGAAUUCACGCAGUUGUGUUUUUUUUUUCAGUUCCUAACACGUUUCUUCUUAACUUUUGAAUUCACGUAGUUGUAUUUUUUUUUUCAGUUCCUUACUUGUUUCUUCUUGAACUUGUAUCCAUGUUGUAACGCCUUAUUGUCUUGCCGAUGUUCGAAACAAGAAACAUCAAACUGCACCUCCCGAUUGUCCGAUAUCGUGGAUUAUCCAAUGCUUAUAAUAGGAUAUCCGGUUGUUAAGAAGAAUGAAGGAUGUUUAAUUAUGAAUCUAUAUUUUUAUUUUACGUGCUGGAUCUAUACUCUUAAGUACGAACUGGGUACUUGUAAUAAUUUUUAUUCGACGUCUAGCGUGAAGUGUCAGUGUUAAUGGUUAAGGUCACUUUAGAUGUUAUUUGUGAACCGUGUCGUGAUUUGUAAAUAAAGACAAGUAUUUUUCAUAUUAUGUUCCUACUUUACGGCUUUGUUUGAGGAACUAUUGACCACCAUAAAAAAUUAUCUGAUUAUUUUAAUCCGCGUCCGCUCCAACACCGAUCCGAUUCCAUACCAUUUCCGACAUUCGAGAAAAUCCGCAUCUGUAUAAUAUCCGCUCCGCUCCACAUCCAACAAAAAAGAAUGGAUGAGGUUAUGGAAAAGGUAUGAUCCGCUCCAAUCCGAUCCGCUUUCAUCCUGCUUUUUGAUAAAAAUUCGGUCGAAAUUUUGCGAAAUUCGAUGUUUUCGAUGGGACAAAAAAUUUCAAAACAACAAAAUCCCAAUCCCUGGACACGAGAACCUUUAGUCGUGUCUCUUGUAGAUCAUCGUAUGUGUCUUCGGACCAACUAAAGACACCAGUAAUCGUUGUCUCCCUUCUUCCAUAAUUCUACAUAAGAAAAAAGAAGUGCUAUUGUUAGCUAAGUGAUCAUGAAUUUUGUGCUUAUAUGGAUGUUUUUUUGGCUCGGUGAGACUUCUAGCAACUCCAAAAUACUACUAAUCUUACCCCUAAUAUCUUCUUUAGAAAAAAAAGAGAAUAAAGAACUCCAACAGUCCACCAAAAACUCCCCGCGACGCGAAAAAAAUACCCCUUACCCCGCAUAUUUUCGCGACGCCAGUCUUCCCAAUCCCUUCCCCCUCGCGUUUUUUUCCGGGGGUGCGCACCAGGGUGCUGGCCGCCCUGACGGCGGUGGGGUGAGGGGCUGUGGCGCCGGUGGGGUGAACGGCGGAGCGAGGGACGGAACCCGACGGUGCCGCGGCAGAGCCACCCAAGCCCAAGGUGCACGGCUGCUCCAUAAGCCCAAGGUGCGGGGGCUUGAUGAGGAUACUGUGGCGCCACCGGCGUUCCUCAAGGGCAAGGCUUCCUCCGCCUCCGCUACGGCCGCAGCCGCGCUCCUCCUCCACCACCACCACACGGACAUCCCGAUGGACGCCAGCAUCUGGGCGGGGCUCCUAGAUGACCUGCUCCUCGAGGUGCUCGCCCGCGUGCCGCCCUUCUUCCUCUUCUGCCUCCGCCUCAUCUCCCGCCACUGGGAGGCCAUCCUCCGCGACCCGGCCUUCCCCGUGCGUGCACAUCGUGGUGCCCUCCCACAGGCCCUGCCUCCUCACUUUCUCCAGGGGUGGCAGCGGCAACACCCACUCCCCGAUGCACUGCAACGUGCUCAGCAUCCAUGCUCGCUACAAGCUUCCCUUUAGCUUCCUCCCGCCCUAGGACAUUUGGCUCGUCGGAUCCUCAGGAGGGCUCGUCUGCUUCUCCGGCUUUGACAGCGCCACUUUCCGCACCGUCGUUUGCAACCUGCUCAUGCAGACCUGGCGACUGCAGAACUAGUGUGCGCAGUGGAACUGCUAUGAUGCAGAGCCGAUGAUGGGUGAAAUGGAUGCGGGACGGUGAGGGGAAGCAGCUGGUGCGAGGAAUCGAACGGAGGCAGCCGGGAUACAGCGGAUUUGGCUAGCAGCGAGCUCUGCUCGAAGGAGCGAUGGAGCUAGGUAGAGGGGACUCUAGUUUGGAUGUAGGCCCAAUUAUGAUGACGUGGCAAAGAUGAAGAAGCUGGAUGCAAAGAUCGAUGACCUGAAGGCCAAGAAGCAGGAGAUUGUGGCUCGUCUCCUCGAGCUCGAGGGGACGGCGGCGGCCGCUGGUGAAUCAGCUGCACCGCCGGUGACAAGCGGGUCUGCGGGUGAACACAGCUUCCAGCUGAAUGCUGGGCCCAAGUUUCGAGCCUUUGAAUCACUGAUCGAGAAGGCCAUGUAAUAGAAGAAACUGUACAAGCAAAAUGAAUGGACCAUACGCAUUUAAGCGUUCACUGUAUAUUAUAAAAAAGGCCUGUCUAAAGCCACAUAGAAUUUGCAAAUUCCUAAAUCAGUUGUUCCGAAAAUCGAGAUGUGUAAUGUGAUAGUCCACAUGAACAUUUUUCACCUUAACACAUCUAUAGGCUUUGAAAGACGAUGUAGCAAUUUUUCCCCCAAAAUACUGUUGAACUUUUUCUCGAGCAUGCAUGGUCUCACUAAAUGAGAGGGCCAAGAUAAUCUUUUUCCCUAGCCUGUUUCUUGGCCGUAAGUCAGAUACAUUACAUUUUCACAUCCCGCAAGCAAUGAAGUUAACAAAGCCGAUGCGAGCAUUAUUAGGGGCUAUUUGGGAGCACUUCACUUCAGAAAAACCAACUCCACUCCACCAACUCCACACUUUCCUAGCUCCACUCCAACAACUCCAGAAAAACAUGGAGCUGUUGCACGUGUUUGGUUGGUGGCAGUGCUCCAGCUCCAAAAACAUGAGCACUUCUUGUGAAUAGCCUAUUUUACCCUUUGUGACGGACCCACAUGUCUGUCUCUCCUCUCUCCUCCCCUUCUUUCCUCCUGUACAUGCCAGCAUAUGCUCAAGUGGGAAGUGCAGUAGUAGCAGCAGACGGUCAUCCUGCGAGCGGCAGGCAGCGGCGGGCGCGGCAGGCGGCGGGCGGCGGGUGGCGGGCAACGGCAGGGGCGGCGCGGUGGGGAUGCUUCUUGAGAAAACAACGGCGUCAGGUUGAAUCAGAGGACCUCAAGAAUCACACAAAGGCAGGCAAGGCUAGCUCACACUCGAAGCAGCAACAUUACCUGGAGCUGUUGCUGCUGGUAUACAACUUGAGAAAAUGCAUUUUGUUCAAGGAUAGCAUGCUUAGAACAGGGAGGAAAUUUCAGCGGCGCUCCUCAUGUCAAAAAUGCCAAAUGCAAGCCAAAAGAAAGGGGAAAACUUUCGCUUUGGGAGACUCCAAAAUCCAAAUCGAGUAGAACUGAUUCAAAGCUCUGAUGGGGGAACCACGCGCGGUCCACGAGCGGCGUCCGCACCACGGCGCCCUCGGGCGUGCUGCGCAUCACGGCCAGGAGGUCCGACGGCCAGCCGCGGACGAGCUCCAGCGCCUCGCUCUUGAGCGCCACCGGGUCCGUGAUCUUUGGCCCUGCCAGGAACACCAUCAGCAGCAAUGCCAUGCACGCGUUGUCAGCAAGUGAUGGGCUGAUGGCUAUUGCAGGCUUGCAGCUGCCAUUUAGUCAUGGCCAUGCAGUGCUAGAAAACUGUUCACAUUCUUUUAUCUUCGUGUCAAAAUUGCAGACAUUUUCUCUUGUUUCUUUUUUAUUUAGUGAAGCUCGGAUGCUGGAUCUGUGGAAUCAUAGCAUUUGUGGUGUGAACAUACCUGGAUCUUGUCUGUUGAAGCAGAUGAACCAGUAGACUUUGGUAGGGGAGACGGGGACAAAGCCGGCACGGACCCCUCGGCCGUAGAUGUAGUUCACCUUGGGCUCGAACGGCUGGCCGUCGGCGUACUCCGCGAGCCCCCGGAACGCCAUGUGCCCGACGUACCGGGGCUCCGAGAAGCCCAUCCACCUCGCGAUCGGCGAGUUCACGCCGUCGCAGCCGAUCACAAUCUGUGUGCCGCCACAGUUUUCAUUUAUGUCAAAAGGGUUAAAAAAAAAAGACCUGCUGAUCUCUAUUAGCAGGGUACCUUCAGGAUUAUUCAAGCAGUAUCUGAACAUUUCUAACUCAGCAUUGCUUGCCCUUUGAAUGGACUGAGUAUGAAAACCAAAUUUACUCGAUGAAUCUUUUGCACUAACCUUGGAGAGAAUUUGUCUCCCAUCCUCGAGUUCCAGCAGGGUGCCAUCAGGCCCUUGCUCUGCAAUUGAUUUCAGUUUCGAUGAGAAUGAUAUCGUGCCUGGUGGCAGCUUAGAAGCAAGGGUCUCGAGAAGCACUCUUCUUUCCACCGCUCGCACUUCCUGCCUGUCCAAGUUGCCGGCAGAGGGAUCACUCAGUAAAUAGUCAGCAUGCAUACAUUGCAUAUUCAAAAUCGAGCACUAAGUUCGAGUCUGCAGUCAGAAUCGGAGCAUAAAACUUGACAAGUUGACUGUAAAAGUACCAAAAACAGUAGAAAACUAGCACAACCGUGGGGAACUUCUGACUACUAGGGCAUGAUUGACUGAAGCAGUCAGUGGUAACAACCGGUUCAGGCUGAUCAAACACUCUCCUUGUCCUUGACAGUCAAGGGGAGUGUGUGAUCUGUCAAGAUCUCAAGGAGAGUUUGUGAUCAGCCUCAAUCAGUUGACCAUUAUUUGCAGAGCCCCUUUGGUCCAGAGUUCAGAAAUGCUAUCUGCCUGGGUAUGCUAAAGUCAGUGACCACUGUCUGAUAAACUUAUAAUUUGUGUGUCUCGUUAACAAUCUAGUAUGGAAAAGCCACCAAGGAUGCUCGACGACAGGAAACGGGGAUCGCACACUUACCCGGGGGCUUCUUCCUCGAAGGAGAACUCGCGCAAGUCCCGCCCGCCCGCCGCCGGCGACCGCAUCCUCAUCCUGCGCUCAGCUGGAACUUCACACAUGCAGCUCAGAACACGCAAAGUUUUCCAUGAACACAACAGAACAACAGUAGCCUGAAUCGAUGGUUUCGCGAGAGAGAGGAACGCACCCCUGGAUGCGGAGGUACUUGGCGCGGAGCUCGUCAGCGACACCGACGGCGUCCAGCACGCGCCACCCGUUCUUGAACAGCGUCAGCGACGCAGAGGCGGGCGGCGGCCGGGCGGCGCGGCGGGGCGGCGAGCGGUGCGGCAGGCGGUGGGCGGCGGCCGGGCGGCGCGGCAGGCGGCGGGCGGCGCGCGCCAGGGAGCGACGGGAGCUGUUUUUGUUUCGCGAACCGUUAUUGUGUAACGAGUGGCAAUGGUGGUAAAUACCCACCAACUCUACGAGGAGGUCUGUACAGGGGGUUUUUGGAGCACCUCUUGAGGUACUAAAAAAACGUGGAUCUACCCCCUGCUCCACCUUUUUCCUGGAGCCGGAGUUGCUGGAGCUAGACGUGUUUGGCUGCGAAAUUUUCGGAGUUGGUGGAGUGGAGCAAUUUUUCGUGGAGUGGAGUGCUCCCAAACACCCCUUAAUUCCAAUCGGAGUGGCGCGUCGUGGCGUGCUCCAGCUUCUAGUCGUCCAUAGGCAAUAGUGUGCCGACGUGGGGGUGUCGAAUGCAUGCACGCAUCAAGAUCUGCCAUUUUUCAAAUCAGAUCAUUCCUCAUCUCGAUUAAAAAAAUAAAAAUAAGAUUCAUUACAGAUAGAAAAAGGGAAAUUAUUAAACAUGCUUGAUGCGUAUAAGCUCUAAUUAGACAUUUGUUUCGGUUACUAAUACUUUUUUUCUCCAUGGAAAUCGAGCUGUAUAUGCGAGUAGACACCUCUAACAUUGAGGUAAUGAGGUCACUGCACAUUGAAAAAAAGGCCACAUCUCCCCCUCAUACGUAUAAGCUCUAAUUAGACGUUUAUUCAUGGGAACAAGGAUGUAAUAAAAAAACAACAAGAAGCCAUUUUACGAUGUUUUUUCUCAACAAAAUAAGGUCCUGUUUAGGGAGCGGCAGCUUCUCCAAAAGCGCUUCCUGGAGAAGCAAACACCGCUGCACCAAUCAGCUUUUGGGAAAAGCUAUGCGUGCGUGGUUGGGGGAGCUUCUCUGAUAGUGUGGAGAACUUGGCAAGGAUGGUGAAGGCCCAAAGCAGCGGGGCCGCGCAUGGAGGGGAGGAGCGGCACUGGGCUGGCUCGGAGGGGAGGGGAGGAGUGGUGGCGGGCCGGCGUGGAGGGGAGGAGCGCCGUCGGGCCACACGAAGGGGAGGAGCUUCGACGGUCGGCGUGGAGAGGAGGACUGCUGGCGGGUCCGCGCGGAGGGGAGGAGCGGGGGCGGUCCGACGCGCAGGGGAUGGGCUGCGGCGGUUCGGCGCGGAGGGGAGGAGCGCUGCCGGGUCCGGCGGAGGGGUAGAGUUGCGAGGGCCGGUGUGGAGGGGAGGAGCACCGCCGGGUCCACGUGGUGGGAGGAGCGGUGGCGGUUCGACACGGAGGGAGGAGCGUUGGUGGUCUGGUGUGGAGGGGAGGGACAGCAGCGCGCCGGUUGUCUGGUGUGGAGGGGAUGGACGGCAAUGGUCGACGCGGAGGAGAGGAGCAACAACGGUGGCUCUCGGGUGAGAAGAGACGAGGAAAGAAGAAAAAAACGGUUCGAUGGAAUAGCUCGGGAAGCCGCGCGAGAUGAGCUUUUGCAUUCGUAGUGUAAAAUGAGCUUUUUUCCAGUUUUUGCUUGUUGAGGUAGCUAACCCUGUUUGGGGGAGGUUUUGGUUUAUGAAGCUUCGUGGAGAGGCAAAAGCUGCCAGAAGCUCCUAAUCUGGACCUUAGGCAAAAAAAAAAAAGCUCUUCUUUGCCAAGCCACUAGGCAACAAAACUAACAUUCCUUCGCAUCCUUAUUUAAAAACUUUCAGCCUGUUCGCUUCAGCUUAUUCAGCCGGCUUAUCAGCCACCAAAUAGUAUUUUUCUCUCACAACAAAUCAGCCGUUUCAGCUUUUCAACCGGCUUAUAAGCUGAAGCGAACAAGCUCUUUGAUCGCGCGCUUAGUAAAUUUGGAAUUAAUAAAUCAAUUUAAUUUCCAAAUGGCACGUGAUUAGCCAAUGGGCCCAUCUGUCAGCGUAGUCAAGCCCAGCGCCGCCCCCAACUCGCCUCUCCGGCUCUGCCCAACAAGAACUGACCGUGGGUCCCCCCCACCCCCGUCCCCCCAGUACACCACUGCCCCCCGCUCCUCACUCGUGCGCCCCGCCGCCUCCGACAAACCCCCACAACCCGAACCCUCGCCGCCGCUGGCAAUGGCGGACUCGCCGGCGCAGUUCCGGGGCCAGGCGCGCCUCCCGCGCUUCGCGGCCCCGCUCCGCUACGACCUCCGCCUCCGCCCCGACCUCCCCGCCUGCACCUUCUCCGGCGCCGCGGCCAUCGCCGUCGCGGUGUCCGCGCCCACCCGCUUCCUCGUCCUUAACGCCGCCGAGCUCGACGUCGACCGCGCCUCCAUCCGAUUCCAGGCAAGUAGGCCCGCCCGAGCUCGGGGUCCUCGUCUGCUUCUGCGCUAGGCCGAUCGAUCGAGUUUCGAGUCUCAUCUCGCUGCUAUGGUGGGGGGUUUUGGUUCGUCGCAGGAUCUGGUGCCGUCUGAGGUUGUCCAAUUCGAGGAGGAUGAGAUCCUGGUCCUCGGAUUCGAUCGGGAGCUGCCCAUCGGCGAGGGCGUGCUAACCAUGGACUUCACCGGGACUCUCAACGAUCAGAUGAGGGGAUUCUACAGGAGGUAUGCUGCGUUUUUACCAAUUCUUGUGCAUGUGAGGUCCAGAUGGACUCCAAUUAUUGGUAGUUGGCUAUGUAGGUCGUUAGUUUGAGUUGCGGAAAACGUGUGUCUUGACCCAAUCUAUACAAUUGCUUCAGUAGCAUGGUAAUAGCGUACAGCAAGGGCAUCUGGAGGGUUUCUUGUUGCUAUCUGUAUCGUGUGCAGGUAGUUACAGAGCAGUGACCUAUAUUUCGGAAAUCUCUAGUAUCACCAUCUUGAUCUGGCAAUUCGAUCAUGAUUCUACUGACUACAACCCGCUAUUUGGUUUAACUGAAAAUUGUCUUUAUCAUCCAGAAAACGUUCACGAGGAUUUAGCCAGGAUGCUGGUUCUGAUAACCCUGCCCAAUACGUUACCUGUACCAUCUGAGUCACCAUGCUAAUAUAGCUACCAUACAUGUUCCGCCUAGUUUGCUGGAUGGGUUAAGCAGCCAGGGAUACUUAUAACCACCCCUCUCUGGUUACAUGGACUCUCUUAACUAAACUGACUACAUAACUUGCCUAAACUAACUUGUCUCUUUCCAUAGCAUGGCUGGCUUCGUGAUUGUCAUAUUUCUGGCAUAUGUAACAAUUAAUAAGUCAAAUAUAACUAGCACAAACAAGAUGCAGUUAAUGUGUGUGUGUGUUAAUCAUGCCACAAGGUUUAUGAUUGUUAAGUGAAGGUGAAGGAGAGAGACCAAAACUAUAUCCAUGGAUUAUUUAACCUUUUAAACAACACUUUAUAAAAAUAAACUUGAUCAGGGGAAGAGACAUUCCCCUUGACAUAGUUCUUGAGGAGGGGUCCACCGACGCUGGAGUGGCCAGGAGCAGUGCGCUGAAACUGCCUUCACUGCCACCAUUUUACUCAGCGACGUGGACACACGACAUGUGGCAACAUGGGUUCAAAUCUAGGCUGGUGGCACCUCCCCUGGAUGCUCUACCACUUGCUGUUAAUGUGUUCUCUAAACUACACUGUAUAAUUUUUUAUAUAUCCGAUGCUUGGUGAAUACUGUGACGCCAAAUGCACAUGAUGUUACUAUUUCUCGGAAUAAAAUGGCUCCUCCUUUUAUUUCUUUCUGGUUGUAUUUUUUCAGUAAAUAUGUGUACAAUGGGGAGUCAAGAAACAUGGCAACUACACAGUUUGAAGCUGCUGAUGCGCGGCGGUGCUUUCCAUGUUGGGAUGACCCUGCAUUUAAGGUGACUAACAUGCUAUUUAUAUUUACUGAAAAAAUGUUUUGGUAUAUCCCCAAACAUGAAAAUAAACAAGAGAAUCCAGUUUGUGUUGAAUCUUCAUACAGGUCAAAACACCCUCUAAUGCUACCUCUUUUUAGAAUUUUUAAAUUUUUUUAUCUUCUAUUUGAAAUUACUUAUUAAUGAUCUUGGUAUGUGGGUUUUUUCAGGCUAAGUUCAAGCUAACUCUAGAAGUUCCAUCUGACCUGGUAGCAUUAUCCAACAUGCCAGUGGUUAAGGAGACAGUCAGUGGACCUACAAAGACUGUUUAUUAUGAGGAAUCUCCACUUAUGUCAACCUAUCUUGUGGCUAUAGUUGUUGGCUUAUUUGAUUACAUAGAGAGCUCAACAUCAGAGGGUACAAGAUUUGUUUUCGUUGUCCAUUUUUUUUCUUCGACAAUUUCUUUCAAACUGCUGUCUUAAUGUUCUUCUUUCCUUACUUUUACAUUUCAAUCAAAUUGUUAAUUUCAUUAGGGACCAAAGUUCGCGUGUAUACUCAAGUUGGCAAGACUAAUCAAGGAAAGUUUGCGCUGGAUGUUGCCGUGAAGUCACUGGAUCUAUAUAAAGAGUAAGCUCCAAUUUUAUAUUUCUACGAAUUGCGACCAAAUGGGGCAGAAGGUUUUUUCAGUAAUUCUAUAAAAGUGGAUGUGCACUAUGAUCAGAGUCACUAAUGGCAAUUUUCUUCCCAGUUAUUUUGCCACUCCUUAUCCGCUGCCUAAGUUGGAUAUGAUUGCUAUUCCGGAUUUUGCUGCUGGGGCCAUGGAGAACUAUGGGUUAGUCACUUACCGUGAUACAGCUUUGCUGUAUGAUGAGCUACUGUCAUCAGCAUCCAACAAACAACAGGUUAGGGAUACAUUUGAAUCAAAUUCAUUUAUUUCAUUGGCUGUUGCACAUAGUAUCUUUGUUUGAGCCCUUAAUAUCUUCUUUAUUUAUAGGUAGCAAUAACUGUUGCACAUGAGUUGGCUCACCAAUGGUUUGGCAAUCUUGUGACCAUGGAAUGGUGGACUCACUUGUGGCUAAAUGAGGGUUUUGCUUCCUGGGUAAUCAAUUCUGCCACCAUUAUUGAGCAAUUAUAACAAAAUAGCUCAUUACUGUGUAACCUUAAUUCCUUAUAAUUAAGUCCUAUACUCCUAUGUUUCAACAGGUAAGCUAUUUAGCAGUGGAAUCUUUGUUUCCUGAGUGGAAUAACUGGACACAAUUCCUUGAUGAGACGACCUCUGGCCUCAGACUGGAUGCACUUGCAGAGUCUCAUCCUAUCGAGGUAUUCUUCUUUAGAGGCCCAGUUCCAGUUGAUGAAAAUGGUUCCUUUCCUGCUUACUAUUAUUUUGUGUAAGAAUAUUUUUCUGAUAGUUCUACAGCAUUUGUUGUAUUAUAUUUGUGCUGGAGAUACUGCAAUAAAGACAAGAUUCAUUUAUGUUACAUAGUAGAUUAUUAGAAGCACUUAUGUUAGAUAUCCAGCGAUUGAAUCAUUACUGCCCUUUGACAUUAUUAUGGUUCAAUCAAGUUCUAAAAAAAACUCACCAUGGGGGGAGACUCCCUGCAGGCUUUGUAAUAAGAAGGUGCCGUGCUUCGAACCCAAGUCGGGACAGGAGUUUCAACCACUCCUGGAGUUCAAUGCUCUAACCAGUUCACCGGAGUUCUAAUGUUUAGAAUGUUUUUCUGAUUGAACUAUGCAUUUUAAACACACUAUAAGUAGGUAUAGUAACUUUGGCUGUAUAGCAUAUGUUGAACUAGGGUUGGCCCAACAGGCAUGACUGUUGUACACAUUCCUAAUAGUAAUGGAAUAAAGUGUGCAGAUAUGUAGGUAACAUCUCAGACUAAACCCCAACCGUCUUUCUCCUCUCAUCACUUCACCACUGCCAUCUUCUUCAGUGGUGCUGUUGCCAUUCCGGCAGUACUGCCAUAAUAUUCUAUGCUGUCUUCUUCCCGAACCACUUCCUGUAUCAUCUACUGUGAAAUUUUGCCUGCGCUGGAUUUGGUGUCCCCAGUCUUGGAAGAGCUGCCACCUCUGAUGCCAGAUGUUUAGUAUAUUGUUAUUUUAGAGGAAUUGAGCAAUGUGGCAAUAUAUUGUCAAUCAUUUACUUCACAGCAUUAGCAUGUCCAUUUGUCUCAGUUGUUAGUACUUGUAUUUAUUUAAACCAAUUAAUGUUGUUUGUUCAGGUUGAAGUAAACCAUGCCAGUGAAAUUGAUGCAAUUUUUGAUUCCAUAAGCUAUGACAAGGGAGCCUCUGUUAUUCGUAUGCUACAGAGUUACCUUGGCGCAGAGCGUUUUCAGGUUUGAUGGUGUUUCUCCAAUGAAUUCUAUCGUAUUCUUGUAACUUUGCUGGUUCCAACAUUUUAUCUUAUCGUUGCAUGUUAUUUAUUACGUUUUCUUUAUUAACCUGAUUUCUGUGGAGUGCAUCUUAGCUAAAGGUAUCCUAAAAUCUGUAAACCAAAUUUCUUUAGGGAAUCAUAAUUAUUUACUAUAAUUCUGUUACUGAACAUGUUUAAAUUCUGCCUGAUGCACCUGCUGAGAAAAGCUUGAGUUUAUUUUUCCUGAUAAGUGAAAUGACCAUAGUUCAUGUUUCUAAUUUAUGUUUGCCUAUCUAGCUCUGUUCCUACUUUUAUUCUGCUGGUGCCAACUUUUUUUUUUGCAAAUGUUUACUGUUUCAGAAAGCUUUGGCUUCAUAUAUAAAGAAGUAUGCCUACUCAAAUGCUAAGACCGAAGACCUAUGGGCUGUUCUUGAGGAGGAAUCCGGGGAGCCUGUAAAGGAUUUGAUGACUACAUGGACUAAGCAACAAGGAUAUCCUGUCAUUUAUGCAAAACUUAAUGGGCAUGAUUUGGAACUUGAACAGGUUUGUUGACAGAUAUUUCAUUUUUCACAUGUCUUCAGACUUCAGCAAUAUUCAUGGAGAGCUCAGUACAUGUAAUAGAUAUAGCUUGUUCAUUUCCUUUGCUAUUUUUUUACCUAUGCCGUAGUGGUUGGUGUUUCUUGUUUCUGGGACCUCUAUUUUCUUGGUAGUAGUUUUUUGUGCCAUCAAAUAGUAUCUUAGGGAAAUAACAUGUGCUACCCUGAGAAGAAAUUCAGAACAAUAUUGGCGUCAACAGCAAUGUAAUGAUAAAAAAAAGCUAGACAAACCUAGGAGGCUAGGAGGAACUAGGCGGCUUUGUAAUAAGAAGAAACAGGCACCCAAGUAUGCCUCAUUAUUGAUCUUGGGUGUCAUGCGUACUUCCACACCCUCAACUAACUGAGCUAGGCUCAGUUAAUAAUAAUCUAUAACCAAAUCCAAGUGUUUGCAUCCCUCAUAAGUACAUAGAGCACACUGUGAAGCCAUCAAGAUACAUUCAGUCAUUUGACCAUGCAACAUUUUUGUUACCUGGCAUAUAGGCUGCGAUGUAAUGUCUCAGAAGGAAGCCAAAUGUAAUGGCAUUAACUAGCAAAACACAUCUACUUGUCCACCUUGAUAUUUACAUUAUACUGAAUGGUUGCUAAAUUAUUUAUCCCCUGGCAGGCACAGUUUCUGUCUGACGGAUCCUCUGGUCCUGGCAUGUGGAUUGUUCCUAUAACAUCUUGCAGUGGCUCGUAUGAUGCACAGAAAAAGUUUUUAUUGAAAGACAAAACUGAUAAGAUUCAUAUUAAAGAAUUCACUGCCUCUCAAAGUUCUGAUGGAGAGAAGGGUGAAAACAUUUGGAUCAAAUUGAACAUCGAUCAAACUGGAUUCUUUAGAGUGAAGUACGAUGAUGAACUUGCAGCUGGACUUGUAAAUGCAAUCAAAACCAAGAAGCUCUCACUAAUGGAUAAGAUUGGUAAAGAUAAGACAAAUUUUAGCACUAUUGUGUACUUUUUUUAAAGUUUUUUGCCCGACAAGGUGGUAUAUUAUUCUUGCAGGUAUUGUGGAAGAUUCAUAUGCCCUUUCUGUUGCUCGCAAACAAACACUGACAUCAUUGCUGCGACUGCUGAAUGCUUAUCAUGAUGAGUCUGAUUACACUGUGCUUUCACAUGUAACCUCUGUAAGUAAAACCUUGCACCUCCACUGAAUUCUUGAACUUUGUAUCUCCUAUCGAUUCUGGCAUCGGAUGUUUCCACUAAAAGUUAUAUACAUGUGUCCUCUUUCUUUCCAGGUGUGCUUAAGCAUUUCUACAAUAUCUGUUGAUGCCACUCCUGACCUGAACAAAGAUAUCAAGCAGCUUUUGAUCAACCUUCUUCUUCCAGCUGCCAUGUAUGCCAACAAGCUUCAGCUUUACUUGUUUUCACCAUCUUGAUUUAUCAGUGCGCUGCUCGUGUCUAUCCUUGUGCAUGUAAAAACAGAAAUGUUGUUGUGUUAAUUUCUGUUACUACAAACAUUCUCGCUAUUCUCUUAUUGUGACGGUAUUAAAAGGCUCCAUAUACCUAACAUUUCAGAAAAUUAGGCUGGGAUCCGAAGGAUGGCGAGAGCCAUCUUGAUGUAAUGCUUAGAUCACUGCUCUUGAUUGCCCUGGUCAGACUUGGACAUAAUGAAACUAUAAAUGAAGGAGUUCGGCGUUUCCAUAUCUUCUUUGAGGACCGCAAAACUUCCCUUCUUCCACCAGAUACUAGAAAGGUCAUAGGCUUUCCUUUUUUCCUUUACAUGCCAUUGCAGAACCCUUUUUGAUGUCUAAUAUGUUACAUUCUUCAGGCUGCAUACCUUGCUGUGAUGCGGACUGUUAGUACCUCAAAGAGAUCCGGUUAUGAUGCUCUCCUCAAAAUCUACAGAGAAGCAGCUGAACCCCAGGAGAAAUCCCGUGUCUUAGGUUUGUGUACAUUCUUUUAACUUUCCAACUUGUACAACAACAUAGAUUUUUUAUGAUAUGGGUUAACCUGAACAUCUUCUCUUCGUUUCCAGGCUCCUUGUCCUCAUCACCAGAUAAGGAUAUUGUUUUGGAAGCAUUGAACUUUAUAUUCACUGAUGAGGUUGACCUCAAACCAUUUAUAUUUAUUCUUCAAAAUGAUUCCAUAUAGUUACUGGUUGCAGUAGCUUCUUUACAAAACCAGUGGGUUAAUUAAACCAGUAGGUUUUAUGGUCCAACAACUAGCACAUUGAUUAGCAUGUUUGGGAAGGUGGUUUUGGGAUCCAAAUCCUAUGGAAAAGGUGGUUUGGGAAUACAUUUCACUACACGAAUUGGUAACCUAGGAUUGCUCAGUUGGUUAACAAGUGGUGGGAGCUCCUUUGACAGUCUCUCUCUUGCAUGCCUCCAAUUCAGUUCCACGAAGUAAUGCUUUGUUUUACCCAUGCACUGUAGUCUGUUAUUAUGUCAGUUUAAUGAAUCUGGUUUGUAGCAGUUUAUUUGCUGAAACAGUCUUUUAUUCAGACUGACUCGUUCCAUUUUUUUGGUUCUACAAAUGUAGUUCCAGCUUUUCUAGUUGAACUGUCGGUCCAGUUGUUUUUUUAACAGAAAACAUGGAAUCUGUUGCUUGCUUAUUAGGUACGGAAUCAAGAUUCGUAUUAUAUCCUUGGUGGCAUUAGCUUGGAAGGACGUGAAGUUGCAUGGACCUGGCUGAAGGUAUGUUAUUGUUGCAGGACUUCUAAAUUAGUUUUGUUGAUAAUAUCCGAUGGAUAUGCACAUGUUUCCUGUCUUCCUGAUUCAUUUAAAGGUUUGCAUCCUCUCUCUUGAUAUAUUGUGAUGCAUGUAUUAAAGUUAUGUGCUGAUUCAUGCAUUAAUGAAUUAAGAGACAGGACCCAUUAGAAGCUUCCAAGGCAAUUUUCUGAAAGAACAACCACUUAAUAUGGUGCAUGGUAUCCAUACUACUGCAAGUUGUAACUAGUAGUCUGGUACAUUGUAGACUUGUUGGUACCACCUGAUAUUUGAUUGAGAGCAAUAUGAAUAAAGGAUAGGCCAGAUUUCAGACGAAGAUAUUCCAAUUAAUGUUUCUUAAUAUUUACAACAAAUGGUCAAAAUAACUAUAAAAUAAGAAAGAAAAAAUGAUGCACUUCAGAAUUAGUACCCUUAGCGCUAUACAUAUCUGUCAGUUAGCCCCUUGUCUGUUGUCCAACAUUAGGACAAUUGAUCCAUAUUGAAAGAUACAAGGCUAUAAAAAUGAAAUCCUGUUUAACUGAAAUUGUUGCAGUUAUGUUCAUCUGCUAUAAAAUUAGUUGUUCUGCAUUCACUUGGCAUCUAGGUCACAUAAAAAUACUGAUAGCUGAGCAUUUAAAGCACCCAAAAAAAAAGUAAAAGAUGGAUCAUGAAUUGGUCCGGACAAUAAAAGAGGGAGGAUUGGCAUUUGGCAAGGCAAUACUGGUUGCAUAAGAUAGCACAGCAGUAGAUUUUUUUUUUCCUUUCAAAUCUUAUUAUUUUUAGCCACUAUAAGUGAAACCAUGCUGGUAUGCCCAAUUACAGAAAAACUGGGAUCAUGUGUUGAAGACAUGGAAAUCAAGCUCGCUCAUAUCGGACUUCAUCAACUCCAUUAUUUCACCGGUACACUGGAGAACAUUUAUCUUUGUUAUUCUUCGCACUGUAUCAUCCAGUUUGUGACCCAUCUUUUUAACCUUUCUGUUGUGCAUGGUCAGUUCACCUCUGAGGAGAAAGCUGCUGAGGUUUCCGAGUUCUUUGCUGGCCGCAUUAAGCCGUCCUUCCAGAGAGCUUUGAAGCAAAGCCUCGAGAGGGUGCGGAUCAGCGCAAGGUGGAUCGAGAGCAUCAGGAGCGAGCCCAGCCUUGGUCAGACAGUGCAGGAGCUGCUGCAGGCCGGAGCAUAAACAUGCGUUCAAAAUAGCAGCUCCUUGGUGUGAUAAUGUCGUGGGAGUCCGCAUGACAAUGCUCUUGAAAAAGUUCUUCCGUGCGUGGUUCUGACUUCUGACGGUGUACUGUCGUUUGCUUGUAUAUGAUCUGUUGCGGAAAAUUGAAGUGGUGACGUUUGUUUAAUUGUUUCUAAGAGUGGUGUGCUAAGUCCACGAUUAACAAACAUUAAUAAAGAAACUAAGUCUGUAUUUGUACAGAACUGAUUUACUUUCACAUGGCAGAAAGGUCACAUAAGCACUUAACUAUGCAAUGCGCAUCAAUGUAUCAGGCAUAAAAAUAAAAACGCUGUACGACAUAAAAAAUGAGCGACUGAUGAAUGCCAUGUUCGCUCACCGGAGAAAGCGAAUGGUAAGAAUAGAUGACUGGAAGAAUAAUUUUGAAUAAUUAGCUGUAAAUCAAAUAUGGACGCACGUGCUAAGUCGAAAACUAAAACCAAAUGAACAAGUUCUAUUACCGUGAAUCUAACCAGCUGAGCUCUACUCAGUUUGCAUUUCUACAGCAUUACGUCAAGUCUUUUGUUUCCUGCCUUAUUCAUGUAAUCAUAGGUGCACCGUCACACGCGGUACGGCGGUAGCUAGUCAUCUCUUUAAAAAAGACGGCGCUGUGCUUAGACGAAGCAAGGUUUAGGCCCAGUUUGAAUCGGGUUGUGGGUUUUGAAAAUCUGGAUUUUAGAUGGAUUGUCACUUGUUAGGAUCUGGAUUCUAAGCAAAAUUUGGAUGGUGUUGUUUAUUCUAGAAUGAUUGUAUGGUUGUUUGUUGGAUAGAUGUCUUUUAUGCCCUUGCUACUCAAAAGAGUGGAGAGUGGUAGAUUGGGUAGAUUGGUGGACCUACUACUAGUCUUCCACGUGGACCCAUCUUUGAUUCCUUUCCUCAUAAGCCACUACAGGGUAUAAUGGGUAUAAUGCUUGUUUGGUUGAUUGGACAUAGCAAAAUAAAAGUAAAGUGAUACAUACAUAUGUAAGCUCCCGUUGUCUCUUCUGUAAGGGUGAAAGAGAAUGGUCCGGGCCGUCCUUUGCGAUUGCACGGCGGUUUGAAAUUUGGCAAGUGUGUGCUUGGCAUGUACUUCCUCCAUCCCUUUUUAUUUGUCGCUUAGGAAAUGUCGCUGCGACAGAUAAAAAGGGACGAAGGGAGUAGGAGCGAAAGAGAUCAAGGAGCUAGCAGGCUGUUGCCGGUAGAAGAAUAUCAUCUGCAGCUAUCUUUAGUUGAGUCAUUGCUGCGGGACCGAACCCACGUAUAAGUGACUUAAUUGUAGCUACAUCUACUGCAGAGGAGUCUCAUCUUCGUGGCUAGCUCGCGGGACUAGCUGAUGGAUCACCAUGGCAAAAGUAAAGAGAGUGCCAGUCGGAUCCGUUGCUCGGCUCGGUCGGACCUGGCUUCAUCGGGUGGCGUCGCGCCACCAGGCGCCACGUGGCAACCAGACACGCUGCUGCUACGAGACCAGCCGGUAGCCGUAGCAUAGCAGCGAGCAAGUGCCAGUCCUCUCGGCCCCACCCCCCACCUCUUCCUCCUCACGCGCUCGUCCGGCACCAAAAACCCCAAUCGCCUCCACCACCUCGUCGGUCGCCGUCGCCGCGGAGAGGCGAUCUGUGCUCAGGUGAAUAGCUAGUCCGCUUCCGCUUCCACCGCUCGUCUCCGGCCUCUCCCGGCACGCUUCGGUUCUUGAGGUGGCGGCUAAUUCGGUUUGGUUGGCGGGGAUCAGGUCAGGUCGUUUGCUUGCAGGGUGGAUCGCCGGUGGUGGGGAUCGGGAAUGAGCUUCUACUUCGACAGGCUCGAGGCCGCGCGGCGGCAGCAGCGGAUGACGGCGGGGGGCGCGGCCGUGGGAUGCGCCCCGCCCCCGCGCGCGUGGCCUUAUUAUUACCACUACCAGCACGCCGCUCUGCUUCCUCGCUCGCCGACUCUGCCCGUUCCUCCUCUUCACGCCGGCGAGGGCGGCGUGGGACACGAGCGCGGUGGUGGCCGGCGGGACACGUGGCGCGGCGGCAGCGUGCCGAGAUGCGAGGCCGGGCCGGUGAGCGCGGGCGUGGGCGCGGCCUGGGCCGGAGGGAACACGGUUUCGGUGGGCGGCGCGGAUGGGUUGGACGGCGACAGCGUGCGGGGGGUGGCCGGUUCGGUUGCGACGGCGCCGGGGCGGGAGGAGGGGGGAGGCGUCGGCGGACGCGAGGAACGCGAGGUGAGGAGAAAGAAGUGCUUGGUGGCGCCGACGCCGGACGCGCGCUGCGCGCCGCCCAAGCGGAGGGCCGUGCCCGCCAGGCGCCGGUUCCCGCCCGGCUGCGGGAGGGACGCGGCGGCGCCGCCACUCACCCUCCGCGGCGCCGGCGCCGGCGGCUCUGGCGCACUGCAGGAGUCGGGUGCUCCUCCUCCUCCCCUCGCGGGCGGCAGGGACAGAGUCCUGUUCGAAGCCGCGGCGUCUCCCAGUGCUGCUGCUGCAGGUUCGAGCGCGCUGAACAAGGCGUGUGCUGCGGACGGUGCCGCCGGCGCAACGACGGACGGCGCUCACCACUGUCCAGGGGCGGCGCUGGAGAAGCCAUCAGAGGCUCCGGGCAAAAAUUCUGUUGCUACCGCUAAUGGUGUUGCAGGGCCAGGGAGUGGUGAAUCGUCGAAGAGCAAUUGUAAUUUGGUCCCAUCCGUGCGUUUCCUACCGAAGCCGACCAUGGUUUCCGCCUACCGCCGCUUCCCACCUGGCUGCCGGAGGCUUGCAGCGCCUCUGCCCGUUGGCGGUGGCAGUAGCCGAGAGUGGUCGCCGUCGUCGUCGGAGGCAGUGCCUUCAGACCGAGAUGACAUGGAAAUAGUAGCUCCUCUGUGCAGUGGUGCUGCAAAUGGAGCAUCACAGAACGAAGGAUUGGAGGAAGGGGAGGUUGCAUCGGAGGCCCAAGAAUCUCCCAGUGCUACUCUGCACGAUGAGGCUACAGCUUGUAGGCAUGGAGCUUCUGUGGAAGUCUAUGCAAGCCAUACUUCUUCCAGUGAGGAGAUGAUUGGGAACGCAUGGAAGUGUGAGGAGAACAAGUCUGUUGGGAGUUCCUGCAAUUUUGUUGCUGAAUCUUUGGCUCAAGGUCUUGCCAAAGAGCAUCUGAACGGUGAGACGAAAUCGGUGAAGCCUCCCAAAUUGAUUCAGAAACCUGCUCUGAACACUCAAUGUAGGCCCUUCGCCAAGGAAACAGAGCAGGAGACUGAAUUUGGAAGGCACACCACGAAUGCCUCUGAGGACACUGACGAGUUUACAGACCAAGCUAUACAGGAUCCUAUUUCUGCAGACAAAUGCCACUGGACAAAGGGAAAGGAUGCUGCCACAGUUAGCAACUACUUCGGUCCCAAGAAGAAGGUGAAGGAUAAAAAGUAUUCCAUCUUGGAACAUGAUGACAUUGUCAAGGCUAUCGCUGUUCAUGAAGGCAAGUUUGAACACGAACCCCAAGAUGCAGACGCUCGGAGCAAAGUCAAGAUGCUGUGCAGAAGGUUCGAGUCCAUCUGCAGGGCCAUAGUCCAAUCCGCGGAACAGCGUUCGCUCAAGGUGAGGAGGAUCGACCUCGCAGCUGACAAACUGAUGAGGAAACUGCCAGGGUUCACCAAGCUCGGCCCCAUCGUCGGAACCGUUCCCGGAGUCGAGAUCGGCGACGAGUUUCUCUACAGGGUCCAGCUGGCCCUCGUCGGGCUCCACCGCCCGUACCAGGGCGGCAUCGACACCACCAGGGAUGACCACGGCGUGCUGAUCGCCAUUAGCGUCGUCGCCUCCGGUGGAUACCCUGACGAACUGUCCUGCCCGGGCGAACUGAUCUAUACAGGAUCUGGUAAGGAUGGUUGUGAUCAGAAGCUUGAGCAUGGGAACCUCGCGCUGAGGAACUGCGUCGAGAGGAAGGUCCCUGUCCGGGUGAUCCAGGGCUUCAAAGGUCUGAACAGGGAGGGAGGCAGCCAUUCGAGGGCCAAGGAGAUCACGACGUUCACGUACGACGGGCUGUAUCGUGUGGUGGAUUGCUGGAAGGAGGGCCGGCCGGGUUCGAAGGUGUUCAAGUACAAGCUGCAGAGGAUUCCUGGGCAACCAGGGCUUCCCCUGCACGUGGAUAAAUUCGUGAGGAAGAACAAUACAUAAAAGCUCCCGUGUAUCUUGGGGGUGCUUGGAUACACCCCACUGAAGUUUAGCACCUAUCACAUCGGAUGUUUGGAUGCUAAUUAGGUCUAUUAAAUAUAGGUUAAUUAUAAAACUAAUUGCAUAGAUGGAGUCUAAUUCGCGAGACGAAACGAAUCUAUUAAGCCUAAUUAGUCUAUAAUUUGACAAUGUGGUGCUACAGUAACAAUUUGUUAAUGAUGGAUUAAUUAGCCUUAAUAUAUUCGUCUCGCGAAUUAGACUCCACCUGCACAAUUAAUUUUGUAAUUAGCUCAUAUUUAGUCCUCCUAAUUAGCAUCCGAACAUCCGAUGUGACCCUGCUAAAGUUUAGCACCUCGUAUCCAAACACCUAAUUCCUUAUCAAUGCAACCCAGACAAUCUCUCCUGGAUGACAAGGGUUUUAAUAGUAGGACAGCAGAGGGGCCCGCAAAAACUGAUUGUAACCUAAAAAAAUGAUGGUAUAAAGAAUAUUGUUGUUCUACUUCCGAAAGAGUUGUAAUGCUUUUUUACAGGUUUGAUUAAAAAUAAGGAUUAGACACUCGACGGACGAUACGCUCAUUAAACGCACACUACCGGAGAAGUGAGGGUUUGGGCCGGUAUCAGUGCAUGGAAUUAGUACCACGUUCAAAUUUGAGCUAUUUGGAGGCCACCCGGUACUAAAAGAUAGCUUUUAGUAUUGGGCAACUCUGGGCAAAUUACCCGCUACCCAUUACCCAAACCCGAAAUACCCGGACCCGGAUCCGAAAAACCCGAACCUGCAUGCCCGAUGUUUAGUUCGGAUAGUGAUUCCUAUUACCCAAUUUUAAUUUGGAUAAUUUGGGUAACUACACCCGGUACCCGAACUAUCCGCAAUUUGAGUCAUAGCCCAAUAGGCCAAACAUCCCCCGCGGCCCAACAGGCAACAAGCCAACAGUGGCACAGGUCACUCGUCAGGCCGCACAGGCGCACAGCGGCACAGCGCAACCUCAUCCUCAUUUCCUCACCUCACUCCCUGACUCCCUGUAUCCUCCAAAACCUAGCCGCCACUCCCGCCGUCCCGCGGUCCCGGGCUCCCGGCGUCCCGCCCACCAUCCAGAGUUCUGCCGCCGCGCUAGAGCGGUACCGAAGGGGCGCGGGCGUGGCCGCGUGUAGGCGGUGACGGCGACGGCGUGAUGCGGAGCGAAGUCGUCGGCUCGUCGACGCCGCCCAUACUCCGUUGCCCACCUCUGCACCUCACUCCGACACGCGACACCUCGCAUCCCCGCGCGUCGACCUCGUCGGAGAUUGGAAACUGGAGAGGGACACCGACGCCCAGCUACUUGAAGAUUGAAGGACGGCUGCCACAUCAGAAUCCUCGUGCAAUGUAUGUAUUCCCUAACUCCUAUGGCCCUAUUCCCCUUAGUUUUUUUUUGAAUCUAUGGACUAUGGAUCUGUUAUUUGUCUAUUUGAUAUGAUCUGUGAUUUUUGAAUUUUGAUAAUAUGGUGAUGCUGAUAAUAUGGUGAUUUUUGAUAUGAUCUGUGAUUUAUGAUUAAUAGAGGCAGUGAGGCACAUGAUUUAGUUGAUUUGUUAUGAUCUGUUGAUAUGAUCUGUGAUUUAUGAUGUGUUAUUAUGAUCUGUUGAUAUGAUCUGUGAUUUAGUUUGACUUAUUAUCUUAGUGACUGAUUAUAGUGUUCUUUUUAUUUCUGUAGAUGCCAGAACCAGAGGAUAAUAUGGAAUCAGUGGGCACUGGCACUCAAUUUGAUAGUCAGGAGACUCAGGCAAUGGUAAUGGUGCCAAUGUUAGUACAUGAACAACCAUCACUGUCACCGGAGAAUCAGGAACAAGGUAAAACCGAAGGAACUAAAAAAGUGGUCAUUGAUGUGGAUGAGAAGGAAACUGAAAAAUCUCAGAGAAAGGAGUUGGCGUCAAGGUCUGAGAUGUGGCAACAUUUUAUCAAGAUCAAGGACGACAAAGGACUUUUGAAGGCUGGAAGGUGCAAAUAUUGCCAUCGUGACAUCAAGGCUGACACAAGAGGAUAUGGAACAUCUGCAUUGAAGAAACACUUUGGUACAUGCAAACGCAAUCCUCAUGUUUUCAUCAAGCACCCAAAGCAAGGCACCUUGCAAGCAUGUCGGGGGGAAGCCCCUACCACUUGGAGGUUUGAUCAAGAAGCACUUAGAGAAGCCUUUGCUGAGAUGGUAAUAGAAGAUGAGCAACCCUUUUGUUUUGGUGAGAAACUUGGCUUUAGGAAAUUUAUGUCCAAAGCAUGUCCUCGAUUCCAAUUUCCAUCUAGAAGAACUUGCACAAGGGACAUUGUACGUCGUUACUUUGAAGAGAAAGCCAAACUGAAGAAGUUCUUCAAAGAUUCUUGUCAAAGAGUAUGCCUCACAACAGAUUGUUGGACUUCUCAGGUUCAAGAUGGAUAUAUGACUAUUACAGCAACUUUUAUUGAUGAAAACUGGAAUCUGCAUAAGAAAGUGAUAGGUUUUUUUAUGGUAAAGGGUCACAAGGGGGAGGAUAUUGGGAAGAACUUCAUGAGAUGCUUAGCUGAUUGGGGUUUGGAUAGAGUAAUGACUGUAACAGUGGAUAAUGCAAGUGCCAAUGACUGUGGUGUUGAUUACUUGAGGAGGCAUCUGCAGAAAACCAACAUUGCCAAGGGCAAGUUUUUGCAUAUGAGAUGUGCAACCCACAUUGUGAAUCUUAUUGUAAGAGAUGGAUUGCAAGAAGUGGAUCUCUCUAUUAAGCGUGUUAGGGCUGCUGUUAGAUAUAUCAAAAAUGAAACUUGAUGUUCCGACAAGGUGGAAUUACACAUAUUUGAUGUUGAAGGCUGCAAUUGUGUAUGAGAAAGUGUUAUUAAAGUUAGCUGAAGAUGACACUAAUUAUGUUAUUGAUCUGUCUGAAGCAAGGGAUGGUUUUGGGCAUCCUGAUGAAGAUGAUUGGGACAAUGCAAAGAAGAUGGCACAAUUUCUACAGCAUUUUCAUGACCUUAUUGUUCCUAUCUCUUCUUCUCUCCAAGUCACUUGCAACACUUUCUUUCAUGAGAUUGGAGAAGUCCAUCUGUUGAUUCAAGAAUGGCUGAACAGUGAAGAUAAUUUGCAAGUAUCAAUAGGGAUGAGAAUGAAAGAGAAAUUUGAUAAAUACUGGGGACUUUGGCACACCAACAACAAGGACAAUGACAGGCAGCAACACGAGCAAGAUAGGGAUAAAGGGCGGAGCAAGGGCAGGGGGAAGGAGAAGGAGAAGGACAAGGAGAACAUCAAUUUAUUCAUAUUUGUGGCUGCAUUCCUUGAUCCAAGGUACAAGUUAUCUUUGUACACAAAGAUUAGCGUUGAAGAGAUAUAUGGUGAGGAAAGAUGUGAAUUGGUUUGGGCAGCAAUUAAUACUUAUGUGAGAGAGCUGUUUGAAGAAUAUAGGAACAUGUAUGCUCCAAGUGAAGAAACAACUCAAGUAAUUGAUGCUGAUCAACCUAAGGGAGGUGCAGGAGGAAUGCUUAAAGAAAAAAUCAUCAAGAGGAUGAAACUGAGCAAUUGUUCUACCAGCACCUAUAAAUCUGAACUUGAGAAAUAUCUUGCUGAAGAAACUAAAGACACAAAAAAGAAAAUGGACAUUCUUGGUUGGUGGAAAGUCAAUUCAAAUAGGUUUUCAGUUUUGAAUCACAUGACUCGUGAUGUGCUUGCUAUACCCAUCUCAACAGUAGCGUCAGAGUCCGCUUUUAGCACAGGUGGACGUAUCUUGGAUGACUUCCGUACCUCUCUUACUCCAUUCAUGCUAGAGGUACGGAGGAAUUGGCCAUAAUAGAAAAAGGUAUCAUAUUUUCUUAGUUGCUUGCAUUUGUGUAUUUACUGUAUGUAAUAUGAAAUAUGUAACUGUGCUGUGCAUUUACAGAGUGGAUAGAAGAAUAUGGCAGCAAAGGGAAAAAGAAUGAGCAGCCUUCUGUCGACGACACCUCCAAGUCACAAACGCCAAGCAACAUGGAGGACUAGAGUGUGGACUCUGGACACUCGACAGUCACUUGCUCUUGUGCCAGUUUAGUGAUGUGUUUCACUAUUUUGUUUGAACUUCUGUUCUUGUGUGAUGCGUUGGGCGUUGGCAGGCAGCAGGCUUGAAGCCUUGAACUGUGUCUUUGUGACUGUGUCGUGGACUCGUGGUUUGCACUUGCAUUGCAUCUGUGGUUGAAAACUUGAACUUAUAUUAUUCUGUCCAGUUUAAAUUCAAUGCAAAUUUUGUGAUGUUUGCUGUGAUUCUAUAAUUUCGGGUAUAUUGGGUAUACCUGAACCCGAAUCUGAAAUUGCGGGUACCCGAAAUUGCGGGUACUAUUUUUUCGGGGCUGUUAUUGGGUAAUACUGUUCAUUACCCGAAUUUCGAAAAACCCGAACUACCCAACCCGAAUUAUUCGGGUAACCCGAACGCCCAGAGUUAGUACUGGGUAGUGUUGUGAAAAAGUAUUGGGUGGUGUUGUAAUGAGACUUUUAAUACCGAGUCAUAACAUGACCCGAAACUAAAGUGUACCCUUUAGUAUUGGUGGUGUUAUAUCCGGUACUAAAAGGUUAUCCACGGGUUACUUCAAAAGAAAAAGUUUCAAAAGGAAAAUUAUCUCUUUGUCCAUCACUUGUGCUGUGUAGGUGAGAUGGUAAGGAAGGAUUGCACGUGGUUUGAGGUCCUAGGUUUAAAUCAUCGCACCGCGUACGUGCAUAUUUCGUGUGACUUGUGACUUUGGGGCGUUGCGCGUGUGUGGGAGCCUCCUAGCUUUUCAGAAAUUUUUUUCUUUAUUUUUUUUGGAUGCAAGCCGUUUAGUACCGAGUUUUUUCUUUAUUUUUAUGGGUGCAAGGCAUUUAGAGUAUCGGUUGAUCUGCCCGAUACUAAAUGCAAGAAGGACCGGUACUAAAGGCAAUCAUGGUACAUAUUUUGGAGUAGACUUUGCAAAUCGAAGGAACUUCUUGUUGUGUUAUACUUGUAUACGUAUUUGUACUCCAUUCGUUUGGUUUUUAACAGGCAGAUUAAAAUUUAAAAUGGUCUGGAUAUUAUUUUUUAAGGCAGGUCCGGAUAUUAUUUUUGACCAUCAAUUUCUCUUAUAAUAUAUCAUCAAUGUAAAUAAAUCAGCAAUAUAUUAAAAGAACUUUGAAAUACUAAUAUAUUCAUCUAACAAUGUCCAAAGUGGCAAAGUAUAUGAUCUGACUUAUCACUGGUUCUUCAAAAAUCUUAAUACGCCUAGUAGGGAAGUACGAUCUGUCCAAAGACGUGGUAUCCCAGCCGUGGACCAUGGGAGCCCACGGCCCACCCGUCGCCACGCCAUCAUCAUCAAUCCGGUGAGGCCGAUCUGCACGCCGCCGCGGGAGGCCUUUCUUUCUACUGGUGAACGGCCGUGCUCCGUCCGGCCCACGCUGCUGCGGUUCAAAACCUACGGUUCGCGAGGUGCUGUGCCUACUGAUUUGGGGGCACUUCCAUUUCAAAUUGUAGCUCCUUCCAUUUUAAAUUGUAGGUUAUUUUGGCUUUUUAAGAUUCGUAGGUAUUAUUAUACAUCUAGACAUAUGAUGCAUAAUAAUAUCUAUAAACUUAGAAAAAUCAAAAUGACCUAUAAUUUGGAACGGAGGAGUAAAUCUUUUUGCUUGAUCCUCUUCCACCGGAAACGUCCUAAUAGCUGACAACCUCGACCUUAGAGGAUGGCCACAUGCAAAGCAUUUCGGUUAAAAUUGUUGCAGCUACGGCUUAUCUUAGUCUUCUAAAUGGGUGUUUGGAUCUUUAGUCCGGACUAAAAUUCAUGUCACAUCAAAUAUUCGGAUGCUAAUUAGGAGGACUGAACAUGAGAUAAUUAUGAAACUAAUUACACGGAUGGAGGCUAAUUCGCGAGAUGAAUCUAUUAAGCUUAAUUAAUCCAUCAUUAGCACAUGUUUACUAUAGCAUCACAUUAUCAAAUCAUAGACUAAUUAGGCUUCGGAAAAGAAAAGAGGGUGGCCUGGCCCCUUUUCUUCUUAUCAUAUCACAAGGGCGCGGCUCUGUAUGGGGCUCGUACUGCGGAGCAAGUCUGGGAGUCCUUUCCACUCAUUGAGGAUUCUAUCUAAAAAAGAAGGUCAACGGGGGAGACUACAGUAGCUCGAAUUUUGCCAAUUCGUCAGUUCGAUCUAUGAUUUCGAACAAGGGAGAGGGAUAUGGAAAGGAUGAAGUAAUGCGUGAGAAUAGCAAACUCCUAUCUCUUAUAAAGUUAGAUUUGGCGAUGCCCCUUUCGGGGGGCAUUCCGAUUUCGCUAUCCAAAUCCUGCCUCAAUAUUAAUAGAUUCGUCUCGCAAAUUAGCCUCCAUUUAUGCUAUUGGUUUUGUAAUUAAUCUAUGUUUAAUACUCCUAAUUAAUAUCUAAACAUUCGAUGUGACAGGAAUUUUAGGAGCUUCUAAAGAAACAAACACCCCCUAAAACUAAAACUACAGGAACUAGAGUUGUUGAUGCUGCACCCAUAGCUGCAAAGAAUCACAGCCGAACAUAGACACCAUCUGUAUCCAAACUGUGCAACUCCUUACCCCCUGUCCAUUUAUGCAUGGACUACCCUUUUCACCCGUACGAUGUGGGCAUGGGCAGUCAAUUGACUCGACCUGUAAAUCUAUAACAAUUGUAGCCUAUCCGAUUAAGAAUCCGGUCCAAGAUUGUCAAAAAGAGCACAAACCAUCAGGCUUCCUAAUUUUUUUAGUUAAAUGUAUGGGAGGAACAAAAUCGACGAACCUUUGGAUAAUAAGAAUCACAAUAAGCUGUAGGAGUAGCUUAAUUAUCUAAUCCAGGAGGAUGUCCAACAGUUUCAAACACGUGGCUUUUGCAUUUCCUCGGAUUAGUUGUACUAUAAACUGCUAAUGCUCUUUGUUUUGUGUUUCUUUGUUGUGGUUUGGUUGCCUUUGCUGCUCGUGGCAAUUGUGCCGCCGCCUCCCUCUUUUGUUUUGGUUGCCUAGAUGUUGUUGAGCAGCUGUGGCGUUGUAGUGGUCCUGGAUGCGAGGGGAGGGGCUGGACUUUUGCUCUUUCGUUUAAUAACAAUUAUGGCAGAUCUUUCGCCAUUCUUUUUUUUAGAAAAAAAACUGCCACUAGGGAUAACGUGAAGCGAGCAUUGUCCGUUCUUUGUAUACCGGAACGAGGUACAGGGAAUUAAGAGAAAAUAUGCGUUGCAAUGCGAAUCAUAAUUUUUAACAAGUUAAUUAUUAACAACCUUAACUGUGGCUCCAAGAAUUUGAAAUUAAAUAAAUUAAUCUUCUGCAUCACCAAAGCCCGUUAGUUUUAUCUUAGUGACAUGUCAUUGGGAAUGUGCCUUCAGUACUGGGUCCAAACCCCCCUUUAGUAUCGGUUGUGCAACCGGUAUUGCUAUUUCGGUACUAAAGAGGGACAUUUAGUACCGAGUCAAAUAACUGGUACUAAAGGGUAUUAAAAAAUAAAAAAAGAAAUCCGCCGAUUGGAGCCCCAGCCGCACCCCGCCGCCAUCCGCCCGAGUGCCGGAGCUCCAGCUGCACCCCGCCGCCGUCCGCCCGAGCGCCGAAGCCCCAGCCGCACCCCGCCGCCGUCCACCCCGCGGCUGAGCCCGGCCGCACAACACCUGAGCCCCGCAUCAGAGAGAGAGGGAGGGAGGGAGGUAGCGUACUUAUGCUGCUCAGCCACCAUCGCUCCUCAGCCCGUCAGUUGCCACCGCCGCCAAAUCUGAGGGAGAGGUGGCCGCUGCUCCAAGAUCCAUGCGCUCCUUGCCCUGCCACACCUGCCGACGCUCCGCCGCUGCACCCUCCCGCCGGAGCUCCGCCACUCCUUGCUCCGCCAUGCCCUGCCGACGCUCCGCCGCCUCGCCACGCCCUCCCGUCUUGCCGACGCUGCUCCUUGAUCCGCCGUCGCUCCUCGCCACAUGUAAGAGGUGAGGGAUGAGCGGAGGGGGGAGGAGAGGGGCAACGACGGGAGGGGCGGCGAUGGGAUCUGUGUGGGGGAGAGAGGGAGGGGUUUCAGCUGGGGAGAGAGAGGGGAUUUGGCGGGGAGAAGAAGAGAGAGAGGCGUGGGUGAGAUGUCGGAUGAGGGGGACGAGCAGAUAAGUAUGGGGAGGAGGGUGAGCGUGGGGUGAGAGAGAGAAGGGGAGGCUGAUGAGGUACUCCUUUAGUACCGGGUGGAGGUGUCACCCAGACCUAUUAAUACCGGGUGACACCUCCACCCGGUACUAAAGGCCCUCAGGUACAUUAGUACCAGUUGGAGGCUUCAAUUGGUACUAAUGGGUGACCUUUAGUACCGGGUGAAGCCUCCACCCGGUACUAAAGGGGCUCACGGGGACUCCUCGAGGACUAGCCGUCAGGCCCGAUACUAAUUCUCACAUUAGUACUGGGCCAAAAUACAACCGGUACUGAGCCUCGGGACGAAUGCUGAGUUUUCCAGUAGUGUUACGCAAUUGUUCGCGUCAUUAAUACAUGGCUUAUCUCGUUCUCUCAUAAAAUUUUUAUGGCAAUGUCUCAGCUGGCAUUAUGUUUACAGUUUGUUUGUCUUCUUUUUUAUCUUUCUUCAUUUCUAUCUGUGUAGGUAAUUGAUAUAACCUCUUUACAUCAUUUUAUUAUUUUGCUCUUUUUUUUACGAAAUCAUUAGCAAGGGAGACCUCUACCCAUAUAUAUAUAUAUAUAUAUAUAUAUAUAUAUAUAUAUAAAUAUAUAUAUAUAAAAGAAAGCGUGUAGGUACAAUGGAUUUUACAUAGGCUCCAAGCCCAAAAGAGAGAAAGUAGAAAGUAUUAAAGACUACUCAACCAACAAAGAAUCUUAUCCCUGGUAGCUGCAUUGGCCCAUAGGGUCAUCAGCUGCAACUCCUCAAAAGUGCGCCUCCAGGAUGCAAAAGAUAGGGACUCUCCAUCAAAUAAUUUCAUUACGCAUGCACCAAAUAGCACAACAUGCUAUGAUGACAAUUUCUCUGAAGAUGGCACUUGCAAAUUGUUGUCUUGCAAGGAUAAUCAUGUUUAGAGAGUCAAGAUCGGUGUCCCCGUUGUUGCCUAAGAAAAUCCAGCAGGCUUGACUGAAGGGGCAGUCAAAAAACAGGUGAUUUCUAGUCUCCUCAACAUUUUCGACAUAUAGAACACAACUAUACCAGGUACAUGUGUUUCCUCCUUAGCAUAUUUUUUAUGUUCAGCCGAUCUCUCGAAAACAGCCAAAAGUAGAACUUAUGUUUGUUCUGCACUCUCGAUUUCCACAUCCAUUUGAAGAGAGGAGAAGUAGGAAUUGUACCUCGCAAGCAGGAGUAAGCCUUUUUGGAAGUGAACUCAGAUGAUCACAUUGCUGAUCAUCAAAAAGCUACCCAAGAAGCAAACCCUGGAGAUCAUUUAACUGAUCUGAUGCUAUUGCAGAAAGGGGUAAAUGGAAUUUUUUGUUCAUGGGAUUAACGAGGAACCCUUUGAUAGAAAUCUUUUCACUCCUCUUAAAUGAGAAUAGUUGGGGGAAUCUCCACCAAACAGCUCCAAGAUCCCAAAGGUCCUUCCAGAAUAGUAGCGAGUCUCCUUUCUGAACUUUACAUGAGGCAAGCAUGAAAAAGUUUUUAGUCAUAGAUAUGAUGUCCCUCCACCAGAAGGAUCCAACUUGAGAUCUAGCAUGAGGGUGUGUCCCAUUUUUAUAUAAGUGUUUCUAGGUAAGAUGGACCUAGGGAAGAUUAACAUUGUUAUAAAACUUGUGUAAGAAUUUCAGUAGCAAAGCUGUGUUUUGUGUUCUAAGAUUAAUAAUGCCCAGACCCCCUUCAUCUUUAGACCUGCAUGCAUAUUUCCAUGGAACCAGGUGACCACCCCUCAUUGCGACAUCUCCACCAUUCCAGAGGCAGUGCUUUCUGUACUUAUCAAUUUGAUCUAGGAUUUGGAAGGGCAAUUUCAUAGCACACAUGUAAAAAGUAGGCAUAGCUGAAUAUACGGAGUUUACCAAAAUUAGUCUCCUAGAAUAGGAUAGGAGCUUUGAAAUGCCCAUUAGAUGCUUCUCCAUUCUAUUUAAGAUUGGCAUGUAUUCAUUCGCUGAUGGUCUUGUGGUACCUAGGGGAAGUUCCAGAUAUGUGCAAGGCAUUGUGCUAAUUUGGCAUCCAAGACAAGUAGCCAAUUGUUCCAUUGUUUCCUGCUCAACAUCAAUAGGCACCAGAAAAGAUUGAUCAAAAUUCACCUUAAGGCUUGUUGCAACAGCAAAAGUAAUAAGGAUAUCUUUUAGAGCCAGUAACUGAUCACUAUCUGCUGGAAGAAUUAGGAGGGUAUCAUCAGCAUAUUGCACAAUAAGAUAAUCACCAUCAUAGUCUGGCCCAAAUGGAUGUGAGAGAACAUGUCUGAGAGUAGCAUCAUUGACCAUUGACUGCAGCAGAUCAGCAACUUAAACAAAGAGGAGAGGUGAAAGAGGAUCUCCUUUUCUAACACCUAUUUUGCAUUUGAAUGGCUUUCCAGGUACACCAUUUAGCAGCACUGAAGAAGAACCUGAAGAGAGAAUGAUCCUGGUCCAACUGACCCACUUGUUGGAGAAACCUUUAUGAUGAAGUAUCUGAAGAAUUACUUCAUGCUCAACCUUGUCAAAGGCUUUUUCAAAAUUCAUCUUAAGAAUGACUAUUUCCCUCUUUGAUUUGUGAAAAAUAUGCAGAAAUUAAAAUGCCCAGGCAAGACAGUCCUGGAUUGUUCUGCCCUUAAUAAAGCCAUACUGAUUAGUAUGCACUACUUGGAGAAUCACCUGCUGCAACCUGUUUGCCAAGAUCUUUGUAAGGAAUUUAAGAGAGUAAUUUAGCAAAGAAAUGGGCCCGUAGUCAUUGACAGUCCUGGGCUCUCUUUUUUGGAAUGAGAGUGAUCAAAGAACCAUUAAUGCUGGAAAUGUCCAGGUCUCCUGAAGCGAAGUCCCUACACAUCCUUAUAAUAUCCUCUCUAAUGAUGUGCCAACAUUUUUUUAAAGAAAACACCAUUAAAUCCACCAGGUCCUGGUGCUUGAUCACCAAGCAUCUCAUUCAGAAUAGCAGCUAUUUCCUCUAGGGAAAAUGGUGCAUCCAUCUCAGGCAUCAAAACUUGUUGGAUAAGAUUAGCCAGAUCAUAAUGUAUAUCUAAAAAUUCAGUUACCCCCAACCUGUCCUUAAAAGAGGUCCAAAGAGCACCAACCUUCUACUCAUGAUUAGUCAAUAUAGUGCCAUCCUGCAGGUGAAGCUCUGGAAUUGAUUUCUUUCUAUAUGAGUAAGUAGCCAUUGCCUGGAAAAGCUUAGAAUUUUCAUCACCAAAGAUAACCCAUCUGGCUGUAUUUCUCUAUUUCCAAUAGAUCCUUUUAGCCUCCAAGAGUUUACUUAGGUGGGAUUUCAAAAGGAGUCUGAACUUCUUUUCAGCAGUAUCCAAAGGUCUUUGAUCUUCUAGGCCAUCCAACAGUGCCAGGACAAAACUGCAAUUGUUGAUAAGUUUCCCUAGUUUGGAUAACUCUUUGCUCCACUGUUUGAGGCCAAAACGAACCUGCUUGAAUUUGCCAUGCAGAGUUUGAGAAGCAUUGGCAAAGAAAGGUGUGGAAUUCUAGUGAAGGUUCACCACAUCAAGAAAACCAUCAAAAUCAGCCUAAUAAUUUUCAUACUUGAAAAGGUUGGACUUGGGGAUUGAGGUUUGAAUGUUGAUAACAUAAGGAGAAUGAUCUGAAAUAGGCCUACUAAGAACCUUGGCAGAGGUGUCAGGAAAAGUAUUAGUCUAUGAGCCAGAGGUGAAAAUCUUGAAAAUCCAAUCUAGUUUUUCCAGCAGCAGGUCAAGUUGCAUGUUGCUCAAGGUAUAAUUGCGUCCAUGAAAGGCAAUAUCAACCAGGUCAAGAUGUUGAAUGGGAUCAUUAAAAGUCAUCAUGUCACACACAUUACCACCUAGUUUGUUUCUGUUCUCUAGAGUUCUAAUGAGAUUAAAAUCUCCUGCUAGGAUCCAAUCCUCAUAACUAGUGAUAUCCAAAUGAUACAACCAAAGAAUGAAAGCAGCUUUAUCAACAGAUUUAGAGGGACCAUAUAUGUUAGAUAAAUGGAAAGAAUUCCCAAACAAGUAGCAAACAAAUAUAAUGGUGAUGUAGUAAGCAUUGCUCAAAAUAAGAGACCCUGAGAAUAGAUUUGAGUUCCAAAUAACAAUUAAACCCCUAGAAGCUCCAGCAGAGGUAGAGAACUCAAACAUAUUUAAGUGUCUAGGAUAGAACUUUUUCAAAUAUGAAGAGUCAAAGGACUCUUUCUUAGUUUCCUACAGACAAAUGAUAGAGGUAGCACUUUCUGAGAUUUUGUAUCUCAGAGCAUCCCACUUAGCUUGAGAGUUGAUCCCCCUUACAUUCUAGACCAGAAUGUUAAGACUUCUGUUACUACUCAUUGGUAAACUCAGAUAAAAGGGCAGCAUCGCCUCUGGCACAACCAUGAGACAAGACCAUAUUACAGCUUAUAGAGAUCACGCAGUAAGAACAGAGUCAUAGAUAAAGCACCAACCAACUUGAGAUUAGAUUGAUGACAUGAUAAACCAAGUUUAACAGACUUUCAAAAGUACCCAAAGAGCUAAGCCAAACACUUAUCCAACUAGAGGAAUCCAAAAGCCUGGAGCACACUAGGAAACUAGCCCCAUUACAUUUCAUUGUCAUUAUCAUCACGCUCUAGAAGAGCUGAAGCAGAGAUAGCACUAGGCUGCAUCUGGAGGAAGCCAAUGGCCAUGCUCUGGAUGGUCUCAAUAGGUAGAUGUGGAGCCAGAGGAGAAGAAGAUCCCGCAGUAGUAGAACUAGCGUAGAUGGGAUGAAUCACUUCAAGUGACUCAACAUAAAAGUCUUGGUUUUCAGCAGCAGCUGCAACACUUUCCUCAGUGCGAAAGCCACCCAUAUCAGGAUUGAGGCACUUUCUUUGGCGGAGGAAGACAUCAUCCAGUGGCUCUUUGAGUUUGCGGGAGUGACGCUUGGCCAGUGUAGCAUGUAUCGGCCCUUGAAUCUCACGAACUUCAUCAUCUUCCUCUUCAUCAUCACCAUAUGGCACCAAAGGGAGCCCAUUUUUAGGGAGGGCAGGCCCAAUGAUUACCCUAGAAGGCUGAACCAAUGGGGUGAAAGGAUCAGGAAUAUGGGCCAAAUAUGACAGAAUAUCAUGAUCAUUGAUAUAUGAAGGAAUUAAGGUAUCAAGAAUAAUAUCUAAACGAUGAGAUGAGGGGAUUCUACAGGAGGUACGCCACUUUUUACUACAUUUUUGUGCAUGCAUGUGAGGUCUAGUUGGGCUCCAACACUACGGAAUCAGGAUAUUUGCCGAGUGCCCCGGGCACUCGGCGAAGCCCCAAAAACACUCGGCAAAGUGUUUGCCCUCGGCAAAGAGUAUAUGGUAAAAUAUCACUCGGCAAAGUUAACUUUGCCGAGUGUUUUUGGUCGGGCACUCGGCAAAGGGUGUGCCGAGUGUCAAAAAAAACACUCGGCAAACAAUUUUUUCAUAAAAAAUAAAAAAAAACAUGCCCAAGCCACUAGGGGUAGCUCCAGAUGGUCGCUGCCGCCACCGCUGCCGUCUCAACCCUUGCGAUGCCACCACCACGACCAGGCCAUCCGUGGCAGUUCCAGCUACUCGAAGCUGCCACCAUGCCCGGGCCAUCAGCUCCAGCUGCUCCACCACCGCCACCACCGCCUGCUCCGCCCGCCUUGGAGUGCGCCGCCGCUGCUCCAUCCCGCUGCUACCCGAGCUUCCUCCCGCUGGGGCCCCUCCCCGCCGCCACCCGAGCUGCCUCCUGCUAGGCCCCCUCCCCGGCACCGCCCGAGCUGCCUGGAGAGGAAGGGGAGGGAGCGGCGGAUCCGGGGGGAGGUGGCGGCACUGGAUCCGGGGGGGGGGGGAGGUCGCGGCGCCGGUGGAUCCGGAGGGGGGGAGGCGGCGGCGCCGGAACCGGGGGAGGCAGCGGCGCCGGAUCCAAAGGGGAGGUGGCGGCGCCGGUGGAUCCGGCUUGGAGGAGGGGCGACGCGGCGGUGGCGGCCAGAUCCGGCCCGGAGGAGGGGCGGCGCGGCGGUGGCGGCCAGAUCCGGCUUGGAGGAGGGGUGACACGGUGGUGGCGGUCGGAUCCGGCCCGAAGGAGGGGCGGCGCGGUGGUGGCGGCCUGAUCCGGAGAAGUGGCCGGGGUGGCGUCAGGAUGAGGGAGGGGAAGGGGAGGGGGCGGUGGAAACGAGGGAGGGGGAGGGAGGAGGGAAGGGGAGGGGCCGGCCGCCGGCGGGGAAGAAGAAGGGGAGGGAGGGGAGGGGUGGGGCCGACAGCGGAGGGAGGGGCCAGGGGUGCGGAUGGAGGGGGAGGGAAGGCCGGGUGCAGGAGGCGGAGGGGCUGGUGCGGGAGGAGGAAGGGUGCGGGAGGGAGGGGAGAGGCAGGUGGGCCAUUUUAGGCAAGUGGGUUUUUUUUUCCUUUGCCGAGUGUUUGUAGUAUAGCACUCGGCAAAGCACUAUUUUGCCGAGUGCCACAUGGGGAGCACUUGGCAAAGUUUUUUUUCCUUUUUCCCUCAUUUUCUACAACGUAUUCUUCUAUAUUUGUUUUGAUAAACUCAACAAUACCUCAUCAAAUUCACUCAAUAAUAUGUAUUUGAUUAUUCUACUCAUAUUAUUUCAUUAUUUUAUGCAGUUAUAGCUCCAAUUGAAUUAUAUCAAUUAAAAUUCUAUAAUUGCACUUAGUACAUUAAAAAUAUCAAACAGUUCCAAAAAAUUACCAAAAUUUCACAUGAAACAAUAUAUGUUCUCUAUUGCCUAUACAAAAAGUUUUGCAAUCAAAUCUAAAUUCGACCGUCACUUUGACUCCAAAUCUUAUCGAAUCCUUCUCAACGCUACGAUUCUUCUUCUCAAAUGCGUAAACAUUGUAUGUGAUAAAAUGUGCGAAACUUUCUCAAUUUUUUACCACAACCUCCACGUAUGAUACCAUCACAUCAUAACAAAUCUCAUAAUUUUCCGACUUUGUUUGCCUUUUUAGGUGAUGCUAAAUAGGUGAUGCUAUCCUUUUGUAUUCACAUGGGGGGAUCAUUUUUAUACUAAAGGGUCCCCCACGGGUUUACGAAAUUUAGUCCUCGGUCCAAGAUUUUUGUUGAGGAUGGAAUGUUGUUUCUCUGCUAGUGCCAAUUAAUAUUGACACACGAGAUAUGGGAAUACAGAUAAGAAGAUUCAUUUAACGUUACAUAGUAGAUUAAUCCGAAGCACUCAUGUGACAUACCCAGCGAUUGAAUCAACACUGCCGUUUGAUAAAUUAUAAUAGUUCAGUCAUGUUCUGAUGUUUAGAACACACCAGUUCCAAUAAAAACAUUCUGAAACUAACAAGGCAAAGCCAUAAAUUGUCAGACAUAUGGAUAUUUGGGAGGGAGGAGAGGGUGGCCGGCAGCCAUGGAGGGGUCGGCCGCGUGGGGGUGUUACUGUUCACACGGAGGUUAGGAGGCUCUUUUAGAAGACCGUAACAGAAGGUAAGAUGGGACUAAAUCCAUUGCCCAUUCCCUCGUAUUUAUGGGGAGGUACAAGCAAAACUAACUCGAUUUGAAUUAGAAACAAUCCUAUUUUCUACUUGAAUUAGAAACAAUCCUAUUUUCUAACUCUUUCUAAACCUUAACCUAGACGGACCCUCAGCUGCAGCACGUACAGUACAGUACAAAGAUUUAAAACUAGCCUAACCAUGCAUAUAUUCAGAAAUUCGAAACCUUAUCCCCAACAGAGAUUUACCUGUGCUCGCAGUCAUCCUCUGUUUUCUAAAUCACCUGGCUCCCAGUCCCAGUAUCUGCAUGGAAGGAGAAAUACUAUCCCGCAAGUUGAUGCUUUAAACAUAGGGUGGACAUAAAUACUACCAGAACCCGGAGUUUAAUAAUGAGAUUUAGGGAAAAAUGAAACAGCCCUUUACAACUGAAUUUUUCUUAAAUAAUUCGUGGUAAAUAAAUACACGUGGAUCAGUUAUGUACAUUGUUCAGAUACAUGAUGUACAAAUAAAUAAUCAGAACUAGAAUUUUACAAGGUUGUCGCAAAAAUGAAAAUUCUCAAGCGUUGGAUCUGGGAUCCCCGACAUGAAGGCAUACAACAACGCCAAAGAAAUUCACCUAAUCCUGAUGGGCGGCACUGCAUGAUUCAAUACGAGGAACCUUCUUUUGUGGAAUGCUGAUCCAGCCAAGAGAUUAUAUCAUCGAGAACUUGGAAAAUUGUAUCGUCCGGCUCACCUUCCAAGAUAGCGUGGUGUGCACCUUUGUAGAGGCAGAGCUUCUUGUCUUGGCUCUUUGCUUUCUUGUACAGAGCUUUACUCACGGCCGGGUCAGUAACCAAAUCAGCCUCACCGUGUAAUAUGAUUAUGGGCAGAGAAACCUGCGAAAGAUGAAGCAUGCAUCAACCAUAAAGAAAACUUAAAACAGCAAUAGUACACAUAAUUGACCAUCCGUUAUUCCAUAUUCUAACACAAUCUGUUAAAAUUGUCCUCCAAAACAGCACGCUUAUUUAUAUUGAAAUCUUAUAAAGGCAAGUGUCUUAUCUGAUCACACCUAUCUGUUCCUGUAAUGUAGGCCAAAAGAAUGAAUUUUGUUAAGAGUAUUAGAGUCCUUUUUGUAUUCCUAUUUCGCUGCUCUUGUACUCUUUAUAUAUUGCCCCCUGUGGCUAUUAUUCAGGACAAGUGCUUUUCAUAACCUGGUACAGAGCCAAACUAGAGUUAGUUGUUUUUUUCCCUUUGUCUUCCCUAGUCGUUCCCCCCUUUUCUCCACUGCAUGCCAGAUUUUGUGCAGCCCACCACCUUCAAAGUGUAAUGCUAAAAAGUCGGAAUGAAUAGAAACAAGGUAUUUCCUUCCUCACUAGAUAUAGAUCGUCAUUGGAUCCGUGCAGUCAUAAAAUUUGACGGUUACUAUAUAUAAAAAAGUGCAUGGAGUGAUCGUCGAAAGUAACACUUUGAACAUGAAAACCAUCUAAUUGGUGGCAGAAAUUAUAUAGCGAACAUGAAAACCAUCUAAUUGGUGGCAGAAAUUAUAUAGCAUGCAUGACACGUAUAAUUCAAGUAACUGGAGCAAACCAAACAUAAGCGCCACAUACUUCUUCCAGACAUCUUUCUAUCUCUUGUGAUGUAUUCAGCAUCUCCAAAGCUGUUCGGAGCCGUGGUUUAUCCUUGUAGGCGAUCACAUUGAAUGAACACUGCAUUGGUCAGUGAACUAAUAAAGUACACUCUAAUUGCAAUGCAUAAUUGCAUAGCGAAAAUUAGCAUUAACUGAGUAACUAAACAUUCAAAAGAAAUAAACCGAUUUCUCUUUCACAAGCACAAAAACUAACAGUGCCUGCAAAUACAUAUUCCUACUUUAUCUAGGAUUUCUGUAAGAUAAAAAUAGAAGUGGUAGUAAAACCAUACGGACAUUUGGUCACCUAUAUGUCACAAGUCAUUUGUUAUAUUGAUCACUGAAAAAGCUUAUUCAUUUGAGGUGGAGUCUGAAGCAAUGUUAAAUGGAUCAUAUUGUUUUUUUUAGUCUGCAAAAAUACAUGUCCUAUCAAAGAAUAUACAAGGCAGUCAAAAUGGAAGAAAAGAACGAAAUAUAACAAUUGAAUGAAAGAGUCAAAUAUUAGUUUAAAAUAAUUCAGCAUGACAGAUACUGACCUGCUCUUGUUUCUUCUUCUCUUUGAAUGCCAACUCAGCUAAAUCUUUUUGAGGAACAAGCUUUUCUUUUGGCAGAAUUUUGGCCACAAAAAUUAGUACUUGCCAAACAGGCCAAGGUGGAACCACAUCAUCUGCAAUCUAUUGAAAUGAUCUUGUGAAUUAGUGGUUAGGCAUUAACUUAUACAGAUAACAUUCUACAUAGAUAUAACUACCUUGCACAUGGGUGCAACUAGUAUUGCACCAUUCCAUUCAUUUGGUUGCUUGGAGUGAACCUUCAAUGCAACUGCUCCACCCAUUGAUUGACCAAAUAGAAAGCUCGGCAGACCUCUAUGUUCAGGAUUCCCUAACAAGAAGAAAAAAUAACAUGUUUACACAAAAAUGGUAAUCUUUGAGUUAAGAUUUUUUUUUACAAAAGUACCCAACCAUUUCUGAAAAUCAUGUGACAGAAAAAGAACAAGAAACUAGUAAGAUCAUAAUGACAGUGUACCUUUGACCUUAGCAAAGUGUUCAGCUACAUCAUUAACAAGAGUAUCAAAACUUGGAAUAUAUCCAUGAAGUCCUUCUGAAAGGCCAAAGCCAGGGUAGUCAAGUGCAUAUACUCCGUAUCCAGCUGAAGCGAUCUUCCUAGCAACCCCUAAAAUAAAAACGGUCACUAAAACCAUGCAACAAGAUCAACAGAUCAGAGAAACCACAGUACUAGCAUCGUAGAUUAAAAGCUAACCAUCAAGGAAGAAGGUACAGGUGUCUCCAUAACCAUGGCAGAGACAAACAAUUGCUUUCAUGUGAUGGUUCUCUGGAAACCAACAUUUCGAGAAAAUCUCCACGCCCCUAGAGUUACGCUCAUAUGACUGUAAAAGAAAAAAAUUCAAUGGUUUAUAAUAAUCAACAAGCUACUUGUAAAAAUAGAUCCAAAUGGCAUGUCAUCAUGCUUUCAGCGCUGGGAAUACCAUUGAGCAAAGUAAACCGUUUUACAUUUCAUGUUACCAUGUUAAAACAUCUCGCGGACACAGCAAAAGUUGUAGUUAUCUAUAAAAUAGCCAACUCCUGAAGGUUCACCACAUAUCAUAAAAAACCAACUGAAGCAAAGGAGAAACUAAUGUACGUUUGGAUACGCCCUAGGAACUUCAACAUUAUAGUGCCUUGGAAUAAUCUUUUUAUAAACAAACUUUGAAACUAUCCAAUAUUUCUGCACGGUGAUCAUUUGCGCAAAUUAGUAAAAUAUAAUAUGCCUGCUAACUUAUAUAGAGCAAAACCACUUCAAUGUCACUCAUACGUAGAGCAUGCGCUCACCAAUGGGAAAAAGGGGAAUCGACUCUACAUGGCACAAAUAAUCGACAGAAAUUUACGAAUUGCAGCUGUUAAGUUCAGGGAUCUCCUUAUUAUAAAGAAGCUGUUUAGUUUAAGGAACAGUACCUCCUUAGUUCCAAUACCACUAUGUUGUCCCUGCAUAAAACGAAUGCAAGUGAGAGAGAUCAUCCAUGGCAUGCGAAAUCACAAAGCGUGUUCACCAUCUAGUUCUACACCAUCAUUUGAAGUGAGAUGAGUGAUACUAUAGAGAAGAUUCAAACAGGUAUCUAAUGUAGUAACGACACCUCCUGCCGAUUGGUACAAGACGUUUUGAUUACAGGGUAAUCUUUUGCUGGAAAAAGGCUAGAACUAUAUUUCCGAAAACACGUUUGUAUUGCAGCCUUCUGUAAUAUGCCCCAAAUAAGUAAGCAUAAUUCACGAAAUCAGCACAUGUAUUAUCUUUGCCUAACCAAUCAAAUACCGACAUGUCAGUAUGUCACUGGGGAGUACAACCGAAAAAGGAAGGACAUAUCUUUUAGAAGUAAACAGGGCAUCGUUGUCUGUGGUUUUAAGCAUAUAUGCAAAGUAGGAUGAGGGGGAUUGACCUUGAAGAGGCAAUGGUCGAUGGAGAGCUGCACGUCCUUGAACGCCUCGCGGACGCGGCGGCGCUCGGGGGCCUGGUCCAGGCACGCCCCCAGCACCUCCCGCUCCAGCGCCUGGUCCACCAGCCCCUCCCACUUCCUCGGGGCCUGCGCCGGCGCCGCCGCCGCCGACAUCGCCGCGGCGCCCGCGCCCCGCGUCGUCGGGCGGCUGGUCAGAGGCGGAACCAGUAUAGGAGUUUGGGUCUUCGAUUUCGCGCAGCAGGACGGGAAGGAAGGGGAAUGGAUGGGCAUAACCCUGUCGGAUGCUCGUCGCCGGCGAAGCACCCGACGAAGAACUGGCGGGCGGCGCCACUGGCCGAGACCGAGAGAGAGAGAAAGAGGAGGCGUGGGAGCCCGGAUGGGGGAAGUAGACAAGAUGUGUUUUGUCUCCACGACGGACAGGCCCACGGCCCACAAAUCCGUCCACAGGCAAAGCAGGAGCAGAAGGCCCAGUUUAUAGCUAGCGCGCGAGAAAGGCCUGCUUAGUUUCUUGUUCGUCUUUUUUUUCUUCUCAUUUCUUCCUUUCCAUUCCAUCUUUCUUUUAAACAACGUUCUUUUAAUAAUUUCAAUAACUAAUAGUUUCAUAUAUCUGCUCCUUUCAACAGUUUUGAAUGUUUGUUUAAGCAUUUGGUAGAAGCUAUUUCAACAAAUUUUAACAUUUGUCCAACAUUUCAUGGUAAAACUGUUGAAAUUGUUAAUUUUAGAGGAAUUGAGCAAUGUGCCAAUAUAUUGGCAAUCAUUGACUUGACAGCAUUAUCAUGUCCAUUUGUCUCAGUUUUUAGUACUUGUAUUUAUUUAAACCAAUUGUUCUUGUUUGUUCAGUUUGAAGUAAACCAUGCCAGUGAAAUUGAUGCAAUUUUUUAUUCCAUAAGCUAUGACAAGGGAGCUUCUGUUAUUCGUAUGCUACAGAAUUAUCUUGGCGCAGAGCGUUUUCAGGUUUGAUGAUAUUUCUCCAAUGAGUUAUAUCCUAUUCUUGUAACUUUGCUGGUUCCAAUAUUUUAUCUUAUCGUUGCAUGCUAUUUAUUUCCCUUUCUUUAUUAACCUGAUAACUAAAUGUAUUCUGUGGAGUGCAUCUUAGCUAAAGGUAUCCUAACAAAUAUGCAAACCAAAUUUCUAAAGGGGAUCAUAAUUAUUUAUUGUGAUUAUGUUACUGAACAUGUUGAAAUUCUGCCUGAUGUACCUGCUGGAGAAUAGCUUGGAUUUAUAUUUCUUGAUAGAAGUGUAAUGACCAUAGUUCAUGUUUCUAACUUAUGUUUGCCUAUCUAGCUCUGUUCCUACAUUUAUUCUGCAUUUACCAACUCUUUUUUGGCAAAUGUUUACUGUUUCAGAAAGCUUUGGCUUCAUAUAUAAAGAAGUAUGCUUACUCAAACGCUAAGACUGAAGACCUAUGGGCUGUUCUUGAGGAGGAAUCUUGGGAGCCCGUUAGGAAUUUGAUGACUACAUGGACUAAGCAACAAGGAUAUCCUGUCAUUUAUGCAAAACUUAAUGAACAUGAUUUGGAACUUGAACAGGUUUGUUGACAGAUCUUUCAUUUUUCACAUGUGUCUUCAGCAAUAUACGGUACAUUAAUGGAUAUAGCUUGUUAGUUUUCUAUUUCUAUUUUGAUUACCUUUGCCUUAGUGGUUAGUGUUUCUUGUUUCUGGGACCUCUGUUUUCCUGGUAGUAGUUUUUUGUACAUCAAAUAGUUUUUUAGGGAAAUAACAUGCGCUACCCUGAGACAAAAUUCAGAUCAACAUUGGCAUCAAACAACAAUAUAAUGAUAAAAAAAGCUAGACCAAUCUUGGAGGCUAGGAGGAAUUAGGCGGCUUUAUAAUAAGAAGAAAUAGACCCAAGUUUGCCUGAGGAUCGAUCUUGGGUAUCUGGGUGUACAUCCACACCCUCAACAAACCAAGCUAAGCUCAGUCAAUAGUAAGCUAAUUGAAGUGGUUGCUUCCCUUUCCUUUAAUUUUCAAUCAUAAGUAUGUAGAGCACAGUGCGAAGCUAUCAAGAUACAUCAAGAUUCUCAGGCAUUUGACCUAGCAACAUUUUUGCUAUCUUGGCAUAUAGACUGCGAUGUAAUGUCUCAGAAGGAAGCCAAUUGUUUAUGACAUGAACUAGAAAAACACAUCUGCUUGUCCACCUCAAUGUUUACAUUAUACUGAAAGGUUGUUGCUACUUGCUAAAUUAUUUGUCUCUAAGAGCAUCUCCAACAGAAUUGUUAUCCCACUCUCCAAGCCAAAAUUUGGCAAGUCUGCUAGAAAACUACGAUCCAACAGAGUUACUAUUCGGAUGGCCAUCCCAUCCAGCUUGCCAAAUGUUCCCCCUCACUCUCCAAACUUGGCAAGCAGGUUUGGCUUGUCCAAUGUGGAUCCCACGCACAAAUUGGAGAGUAUAAAAUGGAGAGUGUGUUGUAGUGUGAAAUGGAGAAACUGUUGGAGCGGAGAGUGUAGGUUUUUAGAGAAGAAUAUUGGGAUUUGGAGAGUGAGAAAUGGAUAGUCUGUUGGAAUGAGCAUGUCAAUAUGGAGAGGAAUCUUUUUACCAACUUGGUUAGAGAAUCAACGGAAAGUCAAAAAUAGAUAAUCUGUUGAAGUUGCUCUAACACAGUUUCUUUCUGCCGGAUCCUCUGGUCCUAGCAUGUGGAUUGUUCCUAUAACAUCUUGCUGCGGCUCGUAUUAUGCACAGAAAAAGUUUUGAUUGAAAGGCAAAACUGAUAAGAUUCAUAUUGAAGAGUUCACUGCCUCUCAAAGUUCUGAUGGAGGUAAGAGUGAAAACAUUUGGAUCAAACUGAACAUCGAUCAAACUGGAUUCUAUAGAGUGAAGUACGACGAUGAACUUGCAGCUAGACUUGUAAAUGCAAUCAACAAAGCCAAAAGGCUGUCGCUAAUGGAUAAGAUUGGUAAAGAUAAGACAAAAUUUAGCACUAUUGUAUACUUUUUAAAGGUUUUUUCCCGACAAUAGCAUGUUAUUCUUGCAGGUAUUGUGGAAGAUUCAUAUGCCCUUUCUGUUGCUCGCAAGCUAACACUGACAUCAUUGCUGCAACUGCUGAAUGCUUAUCAUGAUGAGUCUGAUUACACUGUAUUAUCACAUGUAACCUCUGUAAGUAAAUCUUGCACCUCCACUAAAUUCUUGAACCUUAUAUAACCAGUCGAUCCUGCAGCAUCGGAUGUUUCCAUUAAAAGUCAUAUACAUGUAUCCUCUUUCUUUCCAGAUAUGCCGAAGCAUUUCUAAAAUAUCAUUUGAUGCCACUCCUGACUUGAACAAAGAUAUCAAACAGCUUUUGAUCAACCUUCUUCUGCCAGCUGCCAGGUAUGCCAACAAGCUUCAUAGUUUACUUGUUUUCACAUCUUUAUUUAUCAGUGUCCAACUCAUGUCUAUCCUUGUGCAUGUAAACAGAGAAAUAGCGUUGUCUUAAUUUCUGUUAAUACAAACAUUCUUGUUGAUCCCUUGUUGUGAUGGUAUUAAAAGGCUCCGUAUACCUAACAUUUCAGAAAAUUAGGCUGGGAUCCGAAGGAUGGCGAGAGCCAUCUUGACGUAAUGCUUAGAUCACUGCUCUUGAUUGCCUUGGUCAGACUCGGACAUAAUGAAACUAUAAAUGAAGGAGUUCGGCGUUUCCGUAUCUUUUUUGAAGACCACAAAACUUCCGUUCUUCCACAAGAUACAAGAAAGGUCAUAGCUAGGCUUUACUUCCUCCUUUUGCGGAACCCUUUGAUGUCUAAUAUGUUAUGUGAAAGCGAGUAUGGCUCGGGAAAGAUUAGAUUGAUUUAGAGAGGCAAAGCUCGUGUACAUAAAUAGGCAAGGAGGUCAUAGGGUUUGGUUUAUAGCAUCCGCACCAAUCAGAGACUUGCCUAAUCUAAAUCAUCCAUCCAUCUAACCUGGCGCACAACUACCCAAGGCCCAGAGGGCCAGCCAUAUAUGCCCAUGCUAACACGCCCCUAUAGUCUAAGCAUCGUCACCACGAACGUUCAGGCUGGACCGAAACUCCACGAAGACCGACGACGGAAGCCCUUUGGUGAAGAUAUAUGCAUACUGUGAAGUGGUGGGAACAUGCAGGAUCUUGACGUGGCUGUGUCGAGGGUGACACGCUCACGGAUGAAGUGGAGGUCAAUAUUGAUAUGCUUGGUGCGCUAGUGCUGGACAGGGGUGCUGGACAUAGAUUGCACUGAUGUUGUCGCAGUAGACCAAGGUAGCACGGUGCAGGGGGUAUGCAGCUCUAGCAGGAGUUGGCGCAACCAAGUGACCUCCGCCACAACGUUGGCCACAGCCCAGUACUCAGCUUCAGCACCGAAUCUGGAGACGGUCGUCUGGCGCUUGGAGGACCAAGAGAUGAGGUUCUCCCUGAAACACCGCAUAACCUGAGGUGGAUUUGCAGGUAUCAGGACAACCUGCCCCAUCAAUGUCCGAGUAUGCGAUCAGCUCAUCCACACUGGAGGGGUGCAGAUGUAGUCCCAGAUGCAAAGUACCACGGAUGUAGCGCAGGAUGCGCUUCAAGGUAGCUAGGUGCGGCUCCCACGGAUCAUGCAUGUGAAGGCAGACCUGCUGAACGACUUAAGCAAUAUCCGAUCUGGUGAAGGUGAGGUACUGUAGAGUGCAUGCCAGACUACGGUAGUCGGAUGCAUCCCGAAGUGGAGCGCCAGCUGCUGCAGAAAUCUUGGGGUUGGUGUCAACCGCUGUAGAACAAGGUUUGCACUCUACCAUACUAGCCCUGUUAAGGAUGUCCAGCAUGUAUUGUCACUGAGACAGAAGAAGCCCACUAGCAUGCCGCUGAACAUGCAUCCCCAAGAAGUGAUGAAGCUCACCCAAGUCCUUCAUGGAGAACUCCUGCUGCAAAGCGUAGAUGAUGCGCUGGAGGACGUCCAAGCAGGAGGCGGUAAGGACAAUGUCAUUGACAUAGAGGAGCAAGUAGGCCAUCUCGGCGCUGCGGUGGAACACAAACAGGCUAGUGUCGGACUUGGACUCAACAAAUCCAAUAGGCAGGAGAAAGGCAGUGAAGCGACUGUACCAAGCGCGGGGUGCUUGCUUCAAACCAUAUAGUGACUUGUUGAGGUGACAGACGAAGUCGGGGUGAGCAGGAUCCACAAAACCAAACGGAUGGGAGCAGUAGACAGUCUCAGACAAGGUGCCAUGGAGGAACACGUUCUUCACGUCGAGCUGAUGGAUCAGCCAACUGCGAGAGAGUGCAAGGGACAGCACCAUGUGGAUGGUGGCGGGCUUCACGACGGGGUUGAAUGUCUCAUUAAAAUCCACACUAGGUCGCUGGGUGAAGCCGCGAAGAACCCAUCGUGCCUUAUACCAUUCCAGAGAGCUGUCAGCCUGGAAUUUGUGCUUGAAGAUCCACUUCCAGAGCCAACAUUUGUCCUUGGCGGUCGCGGAACAAGAUCCCAGGUGUUGUUCUUCAGCAGUGCACCAUGCUCUUCCUCCAUAGCUGCCCGCCAAUUUUGGUCGGCGAGGGCGCUACGGAAGGUCUUCGGCACAGGGGACAGCGGGGCAACGAGGUACAACACAGGCUGUCGAAACCCACACUUGGCCCGCGUGGUCAUCAAGUGCUGAUUCACCAAGGAUGAAACAACCACAGUGCCCCUGGGCAGGGGCGGUGGACUAGCUAGAGAGGCGGCGGCAUGCCAGCGUAGACGUGCUAGGAACUCGUGCAGGGGACGGUGGGGACCAUCCGAGUGGUAGCCGGCGAGGGACAAGAGGCCAGCAAUGGUGGACCGCUGGCCGGAGGGCGGCGAUGGGCUGCCGGUGACGCUGGGCAAGCCAGCUAGGGCGCCUGCUGCGGGUGAUGAGGAUGGCGGUCGGCUAGUAGGUGGUGAAGAUGGGCUAGGGACGAAUGAGCAAAGAGGCCUAGCCGGCCAGGCAAAGCCCUGACUGCUGGUGGUGCACUAGUCACCAAGCCGUGGGCGGCUGGCAGCACCUACGAGGCCACCGUGCCGAGCAAUGGGCUGGCUGUGCAGGGCAGCCGACCGGCCGUGGCGGGCAACGAGAGCGACAGGGUGUCCACGGCGGGCGCCGUGGCACCGAGGGCAGCACGUGGCCGUGCGGGCAAUGCUCUUGCCGCAUCGGCCGGUGAGGUGCCGGGUGCCGCACAUGGCUGUGCGGGAGCUCCUGGGGAGAUGCCGGCAGGACCUGCAGAGAGAAGGGGGCAUGAUGGGCCUAUGGGAGUAGGCAUGACACUAGUGAGAUCAUCUAAGAAAUCGAAGGCUGCAGGGGCCUGAUCGGCAAAAGGAAACGUUGACUCGUAAAAAAUAACGUGAGGAAAGAUGAUGAUCCUGUUGGAGAGGAGGUCAAGGCAGCGGUAUCCUUUGUGAUGAGCUGAGUAUCCAAGAACGACGCACAGAGAGGAGCACGGAGCAAGCUUGUGUGCAGCAGUGGAGGAUAGGUUGGGGUAACAAGUGCAACUGAAGACACGCAAGUGCUCAUAGGAUGGUGCAAUGCCGAAAAGGGCACAGUGCAGCGUUGAGAACUGCAGUGUCUUGGUAGGCAGAAUGUUGAGCAGAUAGGUGGCUAUGUGCAAAGCCUCGACCUAGUAGGGUGGCAGGAUGGCGGCCUGAAAUAAGAGCGAGCAAAUAAUAUUAUUGGUGGAACGAAUAAUACGCUCAGUUUUACCGUUCUGGGACGAGGUGUAUAGGCAGCACAUGCGUAGGUGGGCGCCGUGGGAGAGGAAGAACAUGCGGACACUAGAGUUGUCGAACUUGUGGCCAUUGUUGCACUGGACUGCCUUGAUGUGCGUGUCGAAUUGAGUUGUCACAUAUGAAAAAAAAAAGUGAGCCAAAGUGGGAUACGUGUCAGACUUAAGCCACGAUGGGAAUGUCCAAAGGUAAUGGGUGCAAUCGUCGAGAAUGACCAAAUAGUACUUGUACCCUGAGUCGCUUACAAUAGGUGAUGUCCACAAAUCACAAUGAAUAAGAUCAAAGGCACUAGAUGCACGAGACAAAGGCACAUGAAACGGGAAAUGAAUAUGUCGACCUAACUAACACGCAUGGCAAAUAGAAGAGCUGGCUUCUUUAUUACAUGAUGGCAGGACUAAAGCGAGCUUGGAUAAAGCUUCGUGACCGGGGUGACCGAGGCGCCGGUGCCAGAGGGACGGCAAAGCACCAAUAGUGAGGGCAGUGGUGGCUGGGAAGCGGAGUGGAUACAACGGUCUGAAGCUAUUGCACCUGAGGAGAACGUUCCGAGUUCGGAGAUCCUUCACAAAGCAACCAACGUUCCGAGUUCGGAGAUCCUUCACAAAGCAACCAACGGAGUCAAAUUCAACAGAGAAGUUGUUGUCAGUGGUAAACUGGCAAACAUAGAUAAGUUUCUUAAUAAGACUUGGUGAAACAAGGAUAUUAUUGAGGCGUAAUGAACCAGGGAGAUAUGCUGCACCAGUGGAGGUAAUGGGAAGCAAGGAACCAUUGCCGACAACAAUUGAUGAAGGAAAAUGAUACUGCGGUAAAGAAGAAUGUGAAAGAAUGCUUGAAUCAGAAGUCAUGUGGGAGGUAGCACCUGAAUCAAAGUACCACUCGUGGCCCUGGGGCUGGUUCAGUGUCAUGGUGAUGAAAGUGACGCCAGGGACUGUUGAUCCCAAGACGGAGAGGCUGCCAUCGGGUUGUACCCCCCAGCUGGGGACAUCCACUGUCCGGAGUGUCGUAGGUGUACUGGAGCUAUGCUUGCGCCUGCUGGAGCUGCGGGAGGUGGGCGGUGCUGGGGAGCUGACUUGGGCGGGCUGCUGGGCCAGCAUGGCCUGCUGCGCCAGGUGGGCCUACUGAGGACCGCCGGCCUGGCCUGGCGGAAAUGGCACAGAGGGAGCGCGUGGGGCGGGCCACAUGUGAAUGGCUCUGGUCCACAGAUCCUAAGCGGUAGGUCAAGAACCGCCACCUGCGCUGCCUGGGGCCUUGCCACCACUGCUGUCGGGCACCUGGCCACCGUUGCUGGAGCCGUCGUUGCCAUCGCCGUUGUGACCCUAGUCGUCGUGCUUGCUGCGGCUGUUCUUGGGUGGCUUGGAGCCGCCCCUGGUGCCAGCGCCCCUGCUGUUGUGGGGUGGCUGCUGGGCGGUGUGGCGUGGCUGGCCGAAGGACGAUGAGGACCCGCCGGCAGCACCGCCGCUGGUGGCAAUGAGAGCAGAAGACGGCGCAGUGGAGCGGUGGGACAUGUUGAGCUCCUCCAUGAGCAGGUUCGCGUGCACGUCCAAGAAGCUGGGGAAGGGUAUGCUGCGAUGGAGAUGCAAGCCGAUGGUGGCGAAGUGCUCGUUGAGGCCACGGAUGACUUUCAGCACGAGGGUGCGAUCCCUCAUGUCCUCGCUAAGGUCCUGGAGAGCGUCCGCCAUGGACUUGAAGCGCCGGCAGUAAUCUGCAAUGGAAAGGUCACCUUCCUCGAAGGUCCGAAACUUGCCAUCGAGGUAGAGGGCACGCAUCUCACAAUUGCGGAGAAACUGAGUUUCAACAGCAAGCCAGGCGUCACGCGCCGUUGCACAGGCGGACAUGACCGUCUCGACGAGGUCGUUGGAGAUGGAGCCGUAGAUCCAAGACUUGACCACGCAGUCCAUGUGGGUCCAGUUCGGGAGGCCAGUGUUGGCGUCAUCAUUGAGGAUGUGGUCCUAGAGGGAGAACUUGCCGACCGUCAGGAGGAAUUGCUCCCGCCAGUGCAUGUAGUUGUCGGAGGCGAUGUCCAGCAUGAUGGGGAUGAGGCUUCAGAUGCUCUACAUGGCGGCGGCUUGAGCGUGGAGGCUGAGGACGGCCUCGUGGAGCAGCAUGGCGUCGUCGACGGAGCAAUGCUCGUGGUCGGAGACGGCAAACUUGGUUUCGUGGUCAUCUCCGAUAGGGAAGGCGGCAGCGGCGGUGCGUACUCGCAGGCAGCGCGAGCGUGCGCCUCACACACGCGAUCGGCGGCGGCGUCACGCUCUAGAGUACGUCCGCCGCCUCCUUCUCCACCUGUUGCACAUGAGCAAGGGCCAUGUCACACUCUGCGCAACACGCUCUGCACUUGGGUGCAUCAGCAUCCGCGACCGCGCGUUGCUUCUUAGCGGCAGCGCCGGAGCGAGGGGUGAGGGGAGGAGUCCCGGCCAUGGGUGGAUGCGCAGCCGCGAGGACGCGCUAGGGCAGCGGAAGGGUUGGAAUCAGGUGGAAGAUCCGGACUCGUGAUACCAUGAAAACGAGUAUGGUUCGAGAAAGAUUAGAUUGAUUUAGAGAGGCAGUUUUGUUUAUAGCAUUAGCACCAAUCAUAGGAGAUCCUUGCCUAACCUAAACCAUCCAUCCAACCUAGGAUGGGGCUGGCGCGCAGCCCAGGAGGCCUGUGCGGCUGCUACCCAAGGCCCAGAGGGCCGGCCAUAUAUGCCCAUGCUAAUAUUAUGCUCUUCAGGCUGCAUACCUUGCUGUGAUGCGGACUGUUAGUGCCGCAAACCGAUCCACUUAUGAUGCUCUCCUCAAUAUCUACGGAGAAAGAUGUGAACCAGAGGAGAAAUCACGUGUCUUAGGUUUGUGUACAUUUCUUUGACUUAGCUUGGACAGCAACAUAGAUUUUUAUUUAUGAGAUGGGUUAUCUGGAAAAUACAUUGACUCUUUGUUUCCAGGAUCCUUGUCUUCAUCUCCAGAUAAAGAUAUUGUUUUGGGAGGCAUUGAACUUUAUGUUUACUGAUGAGGUUGACCUCUAAACCAUUUCUAUUUACCAUAUAUCCAUAUCGUUAUCUUUCAAAAUGAUUCCAGAUAGUUACUGGUUUAAGUACUUCUUUACAAAACCCUGGUUAAUUGAACCAGUAGGCAUUAUGGCCCAACCACUAGCACACUGAUUGUCCUGUUUACAAAGGUGGUUUUGGUUUACAAACUUGAACUAGAUCCUUAAAAUAUUCCUUGAUCAAUCCUCCCCUUCCAAACAGGCCUUAAACUAAUACUUUUAGUAAGUAUUAUAGAUAAGAAUUAAGCUGAAGUAAAUUAUUUCCCUACACAAAUCAGCAACCUAGCAUUGCUCAGUUACCAAGUGGUAGGAGCUCCUUUGACUAUCUCCCUCUUGUGCAUGUCUCCAAUUCGGUUCCCCCAAGUAUGCUUUAUUUUCCUAUGCAUGCAGUAUGCACUGUAGUCUGGUAUUAACGUCAGCUUAAUGAACCCGUUUGUAGCAGUUUACUUGCUGGAACGAUAUUUUAGUCAGACCUGACUAGGGUUUCAUUUAGUUUCUUCGAAUGCCCAGUUCCAGCUUUCCAAGUUGAACUGUUGGUUCAUUUUUUUUAAAAAAAAUCAAAACAUGGUCUGCAUGAUUAUGUUUUUCCAAAUAUGCUUGAGAGCUGCGCAACUGUAUGUAUAAAACCUGAAUCUAAUCUGUUGCUUACUUAUUAGGUACGGAAUCAGCAUUCAUUUUAUAUCCUUGGUGGCAUUAGCUUAGAAGGACGUGAAGUUGCAUGGACCUGGCUGAAGGUAUUUCAUAGUUGUAGGACUUCUAAACCAGGUUUUUGUGAUAAUGUCCGAUAAGAUAUGCACUUAUUUCUGACAUAUUUAAAGGUUUGCAUCUACUCUCUUGAGAAAUUGGUGUUGCAUAUCAUAAAUCGUGUGAUGACAACUAAUGUUUCUUAAUACUUACAAUGUACAUGUGGAGAUGCCUUUCCUGCAUUAGAUGGCACAAUAGAUUUUCUUUUUCAAAGUCUUAUUACUUUUAACCACUUCAAUUGAAAACAUGCAUGCUGGUGCAUGUGCCCAAUUACAAGAAAACUGGGGUCAUGUGUUGAACACAUGGAAAUCGAGCGAGCUCAUAUCAGACUUCAUCGACUCCAUUGUCUCACCGGUAUACAAUGGAGAACAUUUAUCUUUGCUUUCUUCCCACUAUAUAUAUCAUCAUCCAGUUAGUAACAUUACCCUUCUUUAUUUAAUUAACGUGCCUGUUGUGCAUGGUCAGUUCACCUCUGAGGAGAAAUCUGCUGAGGUUUCGGAGUUCUUUGCCGGCCGCAUCAAGCCAUCGUUCGAGAGAUCGCUGAAGCAGAGCCUCGAGAGUGUGAGGAUCAGCGCGAGGUGGAUCGAGAGCAUCAGGAGCGAGCCCAGCCUUGGUGAGGCAGUGCAGGAGCUGCUCCAGGGCGAGGCGUAAACAUGGGCUCCAAAAUGCUGUUUCUUAGAGUGAAUCUCAUUGGAGUACGCAUGACAAUGCAUGCUCUUGGAAUUUGAAAAGGUUAUUGUGGGCGUCGUUCUUAAGUUGUAUUGGCAGUGGGUACGGUGCUAAAUGAUCUGUUGCAAAAAGAUGGAAGUCAUGACGUUUGUUUCAAAGGGUAAUGUGCCAAGCCCUGGACUAAUAACAAUUACCAUAACAUUAAUAAAGAAACAGAGUUUGUACAGGACUGGGUUUACGUUCACAUGGCAAAAGGUCACAUAAGUAGUUGAAACUAUAGUAUCAAUGGAGUACCAGGCAUAAAAAGAAAACGAUAUACAACAUAUAUGAUGAGCUACUGGUGAAUGCGAAGUGUCGUCAAUUAACUGAGGUCUGCGGCAUUGCAGAAUUUUCAUGUCGAAUCGUUAGGAGAGAUAAGAAUCGACUUUGAUUUAGGGACGAGUACGUUUACUACUGUUCAUCUUUUAUCUGCUAAGUUCAUGGACCUAUAUGGUACCUCGUGACAAGUUUAAGUUUAAGGAUCGUUACUGUAUUUUACUCUUGGUUAAGCAAGUACCUUAAUUUUCUUUUUUUGGAUGCUAAAGUCUUUUUUCUAUACUUUGUAGGACUGUUGUGAAUGGGUUCAUGGACAAUCCUAAUCCGAAUAGGUAGGUAUUCCUAUAACACAUGUAACUCUAUUUUCUUAAUCUAUUUCACAUGCAUAUACAAUGACUUUGCAAUAUUAUUCAACAACAGGUGGCCUCUGCCUGAGCCGCGUUGGCAUUAUCCUUCUAGUGUCAUCCGUUGCUAUGAGACACGGUACGCAUGACAAAGCAGUGAAUUCCUACGCGCUGGGGGAUCUACAAAUUGCUCCUGCUUAUUUAAAAGCGUUGUCAUUACCUGCAUGUAUGUCAGUCAUGGUUGUUAUGAUCUGAGUGGCCAAUCAAACUUCUGCGUCCAUAAUGUAAUUGACCUAAAGGCAAUGAAAGUUUUAUAUUACUGGAGUACUUAGUUUCUGCAAACACGGAGCCGUGUUCAUACACAGAGGAAAUAAACAGCUGGUUUCUGAUAAAACUGGGAAACAAAAGUACUUACACUCUGGAACAGCUUUGUGGCCACUCCGUUGGCUCGUGGUCUUUGAGCUUGUAGAACUGUCGCUAGUUGUUAUGAAUCCCACAAUUUAGUUGCCACCCCUGUCUACAUUAUUGUUAGCCACAGUGCGCGUCGGAUGAUAUCCGCAGCUAUAUCCACAACAUAUACUAUAUGCACAGCAAGACCACAAGCCAAUUCACGUGCUAGUUUUCAUUAAAAAAUAGCUUAAAAGAAUUGCAUGAUUCAAGCCGUUUCCCUAGAUCAAUGAAUCGCUAUGACCGCUUCAAAAAAUGAAUCGCUAUGAGUCCAAAGAGCUCGUCCCUUUUCUAGUUAACAAAAAAAAAAAGAGAGAGAAA